UUCUAUGUUCUGCUUGCUUAUCAAGUAAAGUCUACGAUGGACGGAUGUCGUGCUGAACAGGCCUUCUCAACUGUACUGCAUCACAACAGCGGUUUGGCCAUCGGGCCGGGUUUGAAGAUCGUCGACUCAGUGCGCUUUUGGGCAUGCACUGGAUUUACUUUUGUGCGGCUUUAUAAGACAGGGCUUUGACACCUGCAGAAUUGUGUCAAACCGCUGUCAUGACAACUCCUUUAUUUACGUCCUCGAACAAAGCAUCAUGUGUUGUAAAUAUCGCCGUUAGCUCUUCCUUUCUGAACUUCUUGUGACAACUAUCCACUGUAAAUACCGCUGGAUCAUGCUGCUUGCUCUAAGUCCUCUUGUUGUUCUUAUGCUGUGUGCUUCUUCUUAUGUCUUAUAUUUACUGCUACCCUUGCUAACAUAAUAAUGGCCCUUGUCCUUCGCUGAUUUAUCUGCCGAGCUAAACAUCAUGUUCCUUCCUGUUGGUUAACUAUUCCAGAUGACCAUUCAAGAUGUUCUUUGUGUAUGUUUGAUUAUCAAUAAGAACUCGCCACCUAAUCAGGAUUAUGAAUCACCGGUUAAACUUAUUGUUUCAAUAUCAUUCAUUCUUUGGCUUUCUCCUGAUGCUGUAUGGUUGCUUUCUGCAAAGGGAUCCUACGAAUUUAGUUUCCUAUCAUCCUAAGCCUUUAGUUGUGUCUGCGAGUCUAUGAGUCGUCUGUGAGCCACCUUCCGCUGCUGUGUGCUUUAUAUCUGGGAUAUUUGCUGCUAGACAAAGCAUAUUAUGUGCUUUCUAUUUUCAUUUUUAUUUUUUACUGGUUUUUCAGUAUUUGCAUACGGGUGAACUAAUAAUUCAUUCACCAGCUCUAGACUUUUCCCAUAUAUGAAACAUUGGGAAAGAAGGUUCUAUAUCAACUCGCUAAUUUCUGCGGCUCUUUGCUUCCCAUUAUAUCAUCUGCUCAGUGGCCUUACGACAAAAUAAAUCUUAGAUUUAUAAUCAAGGCCCUGGUUUACAAUCAAAGUCGAAUUCUGCCCUUCAAAUAGCAACAGCUGACAAAAUAUUAUAUGUACUUUAUUUUAAAUUCCAAAUUGCCAUUGUGCGUUCACAAUUUGUUUACACAUAAAAAAGCUAUUUUAAAUUUGGCCGCGGGUUGAAAAAUUAUUAGCAGCUUGAAAACUUUUUCAUUAUUCUCAAAAAGUACUCUCUUUGCGAAAGGUCAACAGUUAAAAGUUUUCCUUGUUCCAAAAUUGUUUGUAAAUUAAGAAAUUUUGCUUCUUCUUACAAGUGUUCAAAAUUCAACAGUUGUUCAUUGCUGUGAAGAGUUGCCCAUAAUUUUUAAAAAAUGCUCCUGCUUUCCCAUCGUUUGUUCGCAAAUUCAACAAAUGUUCGUGCUUUCCUAUUUUCUAAAUUUUCUUCCUUUCUACCAUAAAAUGAUCAUCGUUUCAGAAAAAUGUUUCUGUUUUUCAAUGGUUGUCCAAAUCUUCAAAAUGUGUGCUAUUUUACAAAUUCAGAACAUUUCUAGCAUUUUUUUAAAACUCGUGUCUUCUGUACCGAAAGCAAUCGUGCUUUCUAAAAGAAAUUGUUCACAUCUUACAAGAAAAGAUCCACAAAAGAAAAAUUAAUCCAAUCUGCCGGGGUGACUAGGUCCAAAGUAUUAACAUUGCCAUUGCACCAACAAAUUGCAUCAAGCCUGGUGGAAUAGGAAUAAUGCAGAGCUUCAGCUAGGAAUUCUGCUGUUCCACAGAAGCAUGAGCAGUUCGCUGAGUCGACAAAACAAGUAUUCUGUUCUAUUCAGGCCUAAUGAACAUGUAGCUAUGUGCGGCCUAGAUACAGCCUACCUACAGCCCAGUCGCGGAGAGUGGAGGUGACACUAGGACCAAUUAUCCCCUCCGGUAAAUCUUUCACGCAACAGGACACACACCUGUCCUGUGGCUACUCGUUGAAACCUCGGUCAUUCUCUGUUCAUCGAUGGUGCAUGCGGUGAAUCUCACCGCCGAGGCCCACAGCGGGCGAGGCGCUCUUAUCCUCUCCUUCUCUACAUCUUAUCCAUUCCUCUCCUCCCCAUUCUCUCUGGUAGCACUCUCAGAUCCAACCCUCAGCGACAACCAUUGGAAGCUUGCCAUGGAAGCUAUGAAGACCGCCGCCGACUGACUCUUCCCCACGGUAUUCCCUUCGCCGCCAUUGUAUUUUACUACUCUACUAUGUUCCCUUCUCUUACUGCAAAUUGGAUGCUCUAAUCCGGUUUCUCAUGCUUCUUUUAGAUCCACGAUUUUUUCUGCUGACCCGCCUAGCAGUUCUUCUACCACCGGUCACCAUGGUCUUCCUAAGGUAUAUAUCUAUUCCGUUCUGGUCUAAUUUACUGUUAAGCUGGCUUUGAGGCACCAGUACAUAAUGUGGCUGAAACCCCUUGUGCCAGUGCUUCUCAUUUUUUUUAUCCUUAGUAUUGUGUCUGACUACCUAAGACGUGGUGGUGUUUUAGUGUGGUCAGGCUUAAUAUCCUUUCUGUCCAAGGUAAACAAAAUAGAUGAGAGCGAUGGAUCUACCUAAUAAUUUACUUCAAUUCCACAACCUUCCUAUAAGCUGUGAAUUAUAUAUUACAGAAAAAUGAUAGUAGACAUCCUGAUCCACCUGCAGUUAGUCUUCUCAUCACAAAAUCCAAACUGUAGAACCCACUUGUCACCUAUCAUGUUUUCUUCCCCUUCCAAGCCAUACAGACUUGAGGCUGAUACUAUACUUCAAGCCAGCUCUUUAUGAUAGUGACAUUCUCUCUCGCUUGCGGCAGGUCCGGACAAUGGCUUCUGUUCCAAUUUCAUCUAAGAUCCUGCUUGAUGCUAUGUUAGAGAAGGUUGGCCUGCCAGGGGCCACCUACUCAGCAAGCCCAAAAGAUGGUGCCCGUCUGCAAGUCACUGUUACCUUCUAUCCAAUCAGGAUCAGGCUCAAGCGUUCACCUGUCAAGGUUUCCCUUUCUACCUCGGAGCACCAAGAUCUUGAGGAAGCUCAAGAUUAUGUAGCUUCUACAGCAAUUAAGUACAUGGAUGCUUAUGAGGGCGUGGUUCCAAAAGACUAUAGUUAUGAUCAACUGAAGGCUGUGGAAAAAAAUGCACUAUUGUAUCAGCAGCUUAAGGCAAUGAAGAGGGACAACGCAUGUCUGAGACAGAAGCUAAAAGAGAGCAUUGGCAAAAACAAACUCCUGAGCAAAGGAUGGGAUGGAUCCCUGGACACAGAACAGAGCGUCACCAACAAUCUUAAGCAUUUGGUUAGUAGCAGGAUGAGCCCAGGAUCUGCUUCAGAUGACCUGGAGCUUAACAAUGUUCUUCUCAAUGUAGAGGCCAAAGGCGAACAUCUUCAGCAGUGCACUGAUGACACAAUGGUUAACCUUCAGGAGACUGGCGUUUAUCCAUACGGUCAGGAACAACCAAUAGAUGAAGAUGAAGGUCUGUCAACCCAAGGCGAUGGAAAUCCACCGUCACACCCGGAACUAAGAACCUCAUUUUAUGAUGAGGAGAUCAUUGACAACAAAGGGUGCUGCUCUGGUGACUUCCGUGCCCUGCCUGAAGAUCGCUUCUAAUCUCAUAAGGACCAUCAGAUCGCCAUCAUCAUCAUUAGAGCCAGUCGCUGUUCCCUACUAAUAUAGUUAUCUAUAACCAUAUGUCGUGUGUUUCUUAUCGAACCAUGGUACAAUCAGUGCGUCCGAAUCUAUCUAUUUGGUUGUGAUGGUCUGUAUGUAAGUGUGCACCUGAUAAUGUAAUCUACCGCAUCGAACCAUAUCCUAUCGAACCAUGGUACUCUCGGUUAUGCAGCAUAUGCUACCAAAGCUUGGUGCUUUGUCUAUUUGUUUCGCUGCACGCUAUUGUAUUUGAAUCGUGUGUUGAAUUGCAUUUCUAUGCUUGCAAAUUUACUUGAGCAUUCUGCCUUUACUAUCAUACUUCUGUUACUUUGCUUACAUAGGUCCCUGUGAUUGCCUUUAAAUAGUUUUAACCUGUGCUUUAUUCCCAUGCCACUCAAAUUUUAUAUAGCCUCGUCCUGCGGACAUUGCCAGCUCAUUGGACGAUGAUGAUUUCAUAGUCAAGGGGCUUCCACAGGUUAUGACUAGGCCAUGCAUAUGCUUCAACAUUCUUCAUGUUGCCGUAUCCAGUUGACUUGAUAAAUUCUUUCGUCUUUCUAUUGAAUGCAGCUCUCUGCCAUCUCUGUUACCAUUAGCAGAAGGUAUAUGCUUGAACAGGCUAUCAAGCGGAUCCGCGUUACAAUGCAUGCAUUCGAGCUUACUGAUGAUGAUGACACCACGGUGAUGGCAUCAGUGAAAAUCGAUCUACAACCUCACAGCAAAAGCAUAUUGCCAACCCAACAGGUGUUCUCUGGAGAAUCAACUCAAUUUGCCAGCGACGCUGUUGAAUCAACAUGUUCUGCUGCUUUGUCCUAUCUGUUGACGACGGGCAUAAUUACGAUAGAUGACUACAACUCAGCAGAUCUCAAUAAUUGCCAGAGACAACUCAAAGCUGAGCAGUUCUGGUCAUCAAAGCUAUAUGAUCGUGUGGAGUCAUUUCAAAAACAGCUCAGCUCCUUGACUACAACAAAGAAGAGGCCUCGUUCAGAGAGUAAUGAUGAUAGCACUCCAACAGCUAAAUGUGUGAAUAAAUCAGAGGUAAUCAUUGCUUUUUUGUGCUCUCCACUUGCGUUCCUCCAAUACCACAUACCAUUUUACAUACAAUUGCUCAUUGACUUGUAGGAUGGCCUCAACGACACUCCCGGUUCGCUGCCGCCAAACAAAGAAACAUCAACCAAGUAACAUGCCCUCCCUCCUGCUCUUUAGACUCAUGCAAUUAUAUACAUUACUCAUGUCUAUUGCUUUCCCAAUGAAACAGAUCGCAGCUCCAGCAAAGAAAUAAAAUCUCAGCCUGUUGCCCGCAGAGCUUUACUCUUUAAAGACUAAAUGCACGGAUCACAUGUAAGACAGCUUGUAGGAUCAUUUCCUGUGUAGCAUUCUUAAAUGCACUGCCUAGACCUUGCUCGCCUUACAUACAGUUCUGUGCUUAUCCUUAUAAGUUGGUGUACAAAUCCCGGUCCUGCACUAUUAACAUAUGCACUUUCUUUUAGAAUUGAGCAUACCCUGCUUGUCAUUAGCACUCUCUUUACAACAUCUACAUCUCUCUUUACAGAAGAUUAUCUGUUUCUUACUUUCCAAUAGUGAUCAUCCUCAUCCACCCAUACGUCGUCUAGAAAAUUAUUAGAGCAUUUCUUUGACAAUGUAAAGCAUCGGCAAAAAACAUCAAAAUGUAGCGUACUAACUUGGCGUUUGUUCCCUUAUCUACUGUUCCAUACAUAUAUAACCAAUGUCUUUGAGUGAGCUUUUUUAUCUGAUAUUGCAUACUUCGAUAUCGCCUGUUGAUGUGUCUUUGAAUGUAAACGUCUAACUGCUUUAUCAUCCCCAACAUCCAGGGUGCGUAGACAGGACUGAUGUUGCUCAAAUGUGAGCAUACGUGCCCGUGUUGAAGGAGUUUUGCCCUCUGUCUAUGCCUCAAGUGUCAAUGAUGGCUCUCCAUAUUAUCGCUACCAUGUCUUAUUUGUUUUGUUUGCUCAGCAAAUGUUUUGUUGUACAAGAAUUAGACGAUACUGGACCUGUAUAAUUAUGUCCUACUCAUGCAGUUUAUUAUGUAAGUUUCGAAUGAUGUUAUCUGUUUCUAUUAAUAUCAUAUCAUGUAUUGGAAACUCUUCUCUAAAGUAGUCCUGCUCUAUGUGAACUUUUAAAUCUUUGCAGAGUUUUUGUGUUAAUCCUUGAAAUGUUCCAGUGGUUGUAUAAAUAUGCUAUAUGUAGGUGCCCCCAGCACUUCCCGCCUGCUAAAGUUAUCUUUUACUAAUUUUUUGCUUCUUGCUUCAUUUCUUAGUGUUGUGUAGUCAGCUGUAUUCCAUAGAGAAUUAUUUCAUAUUCUGACAGUACUCCUAUUCAAAUUCCAGCGUUUGCCCAUUUGACCAUUUUUAUAAUGUCUUUCUAACAAUUUAAAUGUAUUAAUAUUGUACUCACAAAUUAUUUGUAUCUGGCCCAACAAAAACACAUAUUCCCUGUCCACAAAAAAUAGUAAACGCAUCUGCUUUUGGAUAAUGGCACCGUUAUCUAUAAAACCAAAAUUGAAUAGCACUAUUCAUACAUGCUACUGUGAAAUGUUCUGCCUUUUAGAGUUUUAAACCCUUGCUAAAGAAAAAUGAAUGCCGCCUAUUUUUUUCCCGGCCUGCCUUCUCCUGCUUCUUUUCUUCGCUGAGUCCCUUGCUUCAGAGUACCCCUUUUCUCCUAUGGGCCAUCCGCCUUCUCAGGGCCGAGACACUGGCCCUCUCCAUCACACGCACCAAGCUCUGUCUUCUCUUCCUUGGAUUCCUCUCCUCAUCCACACAGCCCCCAUUCCCCUCCCACCCCUCUCCCUGUCCACCCCUGCCUCUCUCCACUCUCUCUCCUUAUCUGCUUACAGCUCCUUCAAGUUCGAUGCUGCUCCAACCGCACCAGAUCCCUGGAUAGCCACAUCCUCCGACGAGUCUCCGCAGUGCUAUGCUAUUUCCCAGGUGCGCCUCCUCCUCUCCAGAUCCAUCACUCUUAAGAUUCUCGUUGUCAACGGCGGGUGUUCAUGUUGGACAGAUCUGCUUCUUUCUCUUUCGUUUUUUCUUUACCUUUGACCGCCUAUGAUUUUUCUUCUUAGGUUUUCGGUCUAUUUGAGUGUUCCACAAAGCCGGCCAGGAGAUACUAGAAGCACGGCCCCGGAGUGAAGGUAUAUUCCUCUGUUUCUAGAUCCUCAUCCAGCUAUGUCUUCGAUUCAUGCGCAUGAAGAUAUUUUCCAUUCCUUUUUAUAUAGUUUGAUAUAUGAUUCAUGUUCUGUCAUAUAGCUAUGAAUAUUGUACUCUCAUAAAGGCAGUAAAAUAUAUAAUUUACUGCUCUUUAUUAAUCGUUUCUAAAAUAUUCAGCAUCUUUCUUUCUUCUAAUUUAGCUUCAUCUCAACAAGCCACGUAGUCAAUGCCUAUGAUUUACCUAUACUCUUUAAAAACCUGUAUUUUCUCUCCCUGUUAAUAUUUGCCCAUUCAUAGACCUGAUUGGCUGACCAAACUAAUUAGAACCACUCCAGAUUCAGUGACCUGCAUAGCUCGCAAAUGAGUUUUCUGGAUACAUGCAAAUCAUAAUUAAGUGCCAAUCUCGAGUCCACGAUAAUAUUAGGCAUAAAUCAAGCAAGAUAUACUAGAUUAAAUAUGCAGCCCGUUGCUCUGCAUGAGCUUAAAAUGACUUGAGCUAUGUUUAGCAGAGUCAUGCAAAAUAUUGCCUCUGUUCAUAGCCUCAUGAUAUUAUAGCUUUGUUUCAUGAUGCACUUAGUAAAGCACUAUUAGAUCCUUACUGCAUAUGAAUUUUGAGAAUUUGGUCUUCAUUAUUCUCAUUGCACACUAUGCUUAUGCCUUGUGCCAGCUCCCCUGAGCCUGUCUUUUGAAACCAUCCUCAUGGAAUUGGUCGAGCUACGCACACCAUUUUUGGCCGAGACAAUGUUUGAUAAGCUUGGGCUCCCAAGGCCAGUUUACCAUGUGCGUAUGCUCGAGCAAGGUGGAUAUAGGGCACAGAUUGAGUUUCACCGUACCAAAGAGCAUUAUGAUGCUUCGGCGCGCCGGACUAAAUUGUUGAGCCAUAUAUGUGUCAGUGGAGAGGCAGCAAUGGAUCAGGCAGCCGAUCAAGCAAUUGCAUACAUGGAAAACAAUGAAAACAAGGUUCUUGCUGAUUAUAACUACUAUCGGCUGCAACAAGAAAAACAAUCUUGUGCAAGACUUUCAGACAAGCUGUCAGAGAAAACAGAAAAAAUCAACCAGCGCAACCAGACAAUCAAACAGAUGACUACAGAGGCGUCCGAUUAUCUGGAAGAAGUGCAUGCUGCAUCAGGCAAGAUCCAUGGUCUCGCUGUCACUGCCUUAGACCCUGCUGCCAGCCUUUCUCUUUCCACUCUAAAACAGGCUAUUUUAGAGAUUCAAGAUUCACUCAUUGCUCUCUAGAGCACUACAUCCGCUGCAUGUGCCUCCCUAGAGGAAAAGGGCAUGUACUCAGAGGAUGAUGUGUCUCAACCAAUCUACGAUGGGCUUUCUGAUGAAGAACUCGAUGAAGAUUACCAUCAAGACAUGGAUGACGACUGUGCUAACUAUGUGCGAUCCCCAUAGGCACUGUUUAAGACCUACUAGGCCGAUCAACAAGUGAAGUUUUCUACAUAUAACUUCACUAUAGGCCUUGCUUCUUUCUAGAAAGACCUGGUCUGUUAUUAUAUUUAGCCUACUAGGUUGCCUAAAUUAAAUGUGAAGCUCCAUGUUUAUAGCUUCACCUAAGGAACUGUCUUACUCUUAGACUACUCUGUUGUUGUACAUGAACAUGAAAUAUAUUCUGCUAUCUAAGACCAGUGUAAUAUAUGUAUGUUCUACCUUCGUUUUUUCGAGUUUUUGGGUUCCGUCCUUACAGUAUUUUUCCCGUGUGCCUCUGAUUAUUUACUCUGUUUUCCCAAUACAAACACACAGAACAUUGGCUGCCCCAAUGCACAAAUAAUCGUUCGUUAUUGAUAUUCAGUUCUAUUUACUUAUGAACAGAUAAAAAACAAACCAGUUCGUUGGUGGAUUCAAUCUUGGUGAAGUUUUCCUUAUGGAGGAAACCAAAUGCUGGCCUCUAUGAUCUGUUGCACAUACUGAUCUGUCCCAAGGUAUUCAUAACCAUUUUAGAUCCAGAUCCUUUUGCUCUGCGAUUAAAUAUACCUGUGAUUAUCUUCGUCGUAUUCAAUAUUGCAUAAAUUUAGAUGCACAAGAUAGCUGCUUAUAUGAAUCCUGUUCAAAAACAGAUAGGUUGAAAAAAUUGUCACUUGUCUUGCUGUAAUUCUAUCUCCAGCUGUCUAAAAGGAAAUGUAUAUGUCUGCUUAUAUUAACCUCUGUUUUUGCCUGAGUCAACAGAUGGCACAAUCAAUCUAGAUAUAGCUAUGAUUAUCAACUGCCCUAUGCUUCAGUAAACAGUUGUUUAGAAGGUUGCAAAAAUUGUUCCACUCCAUCUAUUUGUACGCAUAAGAACUCCAUGUAGCUCUGUUUGUCACAAAUUGUUUACUAUUUUGUUAUCUCCUGCUUGCUACUACCUCUGCAGGUCCAAAAUCUCAUCCUUUUCUUGCUUUUCAAUGAAGGUCUCUUCUAAAAAGUUGAGCACACCAUGGAAGCUGAAAACAUAAAGCUUGAUGAUGAUGUUGUUGUGCCUGGUACGCUUGAUGAAGACGACGCCAGUCAAAAUAAUAUAAUACCAUUGUCCUAUGCUGGCAAGACUCGUUGUAUGACUCACUCCUAUCGUGAUGGAAUGGUUGGUUCCCAUGUCCACACCUCACCUGAUAUAAUCACCAGCUUCACAUGUAACCCAAAGUGGGCUCAAAUAACAAAGACGCUUAAGCCUGAACAACAGCAAGUCAAUAAGGCUGCUGAGACUGAUCGUAUCUAUCGCAUGAAGCUGCAUGAGUAUCUGCAAAAGAUCAAUGAAGGGAAGAUAUUUGGGCCUGUUAUCUCUGGUAAUGUGGCUGAUGAUAUAUCUCUGAUUUCUUCAUUUUCCUUUGACAUGCACGGCCAAUCUCCUCUUUUACAGUUAUCCACGACAUCGAAUUUUUAAAAAAAGGGCUACCGCAUGCCCGGGUCCUUGUUUGGCAGAAGAAAAAACAUAACAAAGUGGUCAUCCCAGCUUUCAUGAAAACCUUUGCUUCAGCCACUGUUGGUAUUUCUUUUGGACCUAAUUUCUUCUGCUUCUUUCUUUCGCUUCCAUUUUACAUACUUUGUAGUAAUUAGUUUAACUCUAUCACAGGGAUCUGAACUUACUGAUACUAUUGGCGAUGUUCCUGGGUAUGGUCAGAUGCCUAAGCUAGAAAGGUAUGAAAUCUCUAUACAAUGAAGCAUAAUACACAACCAUCUACUUACCAAAGCCAUAAAUACUCAUAUAAACUAUACCUUAUUUCAAACUAUAAAUCCACCAUGUAAAAAGCUUCUAUUCCUGUUCUAAUUGGACCUGUGAAAACUUUGUUCCUUUAUUCCAUCUUAUGGAUUUUGUGUUCCUGUUCAUAUAAAUUCCUGAAAAUUUGAUGAUCCUAGAGAUGAGCCGGCUGUUGCAGCGUAUGAUUCAUCAGGCACAUUAGAGUCGAGCUGAACCCAACUUUCAAAUGAGCAUAAGAAAGCGGUAUGUGUGUUCUUGCAAUCUCUUCUUUCUCCUUAAUUUUUUGUUGCCAUCCUUUCCGUUCUGUUAUCUUUAACAUGAAACACAUAAAUGCAGCCUGCCAUGUCAACAUCUUAACUUACAAACUUUCUUAUUCUUCAUGCCAGAUGAUUUUGUGCAUGGAGUCUUGCUGCCUUGAUCAUUGGUACCUCGGCCCUCGCUAUCUUCACCCCACGACAAGUAACAAUUACCUUUUGAACAACAGCCAACCUUUGGCCUCGUGAAGAGACACGAAAGCUCUCUUCGAUCAAUUCCUUGUUUAAGAUCUGUAUUAGACUACUUCCAAGCCUUGUACAAAUCACCACGACUCUCCCUGCUUCCCCUGUCUCCUCAGUAACUGUUUGUAUCCAUUGUAAAUGCUCAUUCAGCCAUGUUGCCGGACAUAUAUGUUAUAACCACUGCCAUGCUAAGUAUUCUCUGCUUUAUAUCUGUGUGCUCAACCUUCUCAGUUUUUUAUUAAAUCUUAAACUGUAAUCACUGACCUUUGUACAGUUUAUUAAUUAAGAGUGAAACUCCGUUAGCAAAUACACAAAUUUUUUCUGUAUUUUAACAUUGAACACCUCACAGAUUAGCACCGAGGCCGAAUAUUUUAACAUUCCCAAGGUUUUAAUCAAAUUAAGCACACAUCAUGAUAUACUUUGCAUACCUGUGUAUGCUACAAAAUUCUUUGCUCGACGCUUUUGCGUAUUUUGCUUCUGAGAAUAAAAAAUCUUGCAUCUAUCCACAGAAGCUUGACCCACUACCUACAAGACCUAUAAUUAGCUUUUUUCUUACUCCAUUCUAUAUUUACGUGUGUAAGUAUCACUAGGCAGAUCCAAGCCAGACGAAAUUCAGGAGUCAUAAACACAGAGACAAGCCCAUCAUAGGCAAUUGUAAAAGCCCAUACAGGUCCAGCCCACCUGUGCAUCGUAUAUAACCACUGCUCGAGGAAGCUUCUGACCUAAAUCCCCAAUCGACUGGCUCCUGGCUGUUCUCUCUGCUGACCGGCGCGGCUCCACCAGCGAUCCAUCAGUCCUUGCUACAGAAAGAGGUGAUUCAUCACUUGCUUUCCAAUCUCUUUCUCUAUUUCCUUGUGAUUCAUCACUUGCUUUCCAAUCUCCUUGUGACACCCAAGCUUUUAUUUGGAUUUUUCAAAAGAUUUUUAUUUGACUUGAGGGGAGUGAUUAAAAUUUUUCCUUUAAGAGAACUCUCCCUCUCAAAUAUUUUUUUUUCAUGGCAAAAGUUUUAUUUGGAUUCACCCAAGAUCUGUCUUUGGUCUUGGAGGUUCUUGCUUUUCAUUUGGACUCAAAACCAAAUGUUUUUCUUUUGGGGAAAACAACUUUUAAAAAUCUUAAUGGAAAUGCACUAUGGCUUUUGGAAAACUCCUUUGCCACUUUCAACAAUUCCUUCUUGCCAUGGCCUUAGUGCAAAUCCUCUCUCCUAACCCUUCCCUCACCUUUGGAUCAUGAUCUGCAUCAAAUCCAGCAAGUUGGACCUCCCCAUGUGAUCAUUUCCAUUUGAAUCUUAUUCAAACAAAUUCCUGUCUUCUAUCCUACUACUUGGAGAUUUACAAAGGAACUCCAUUUUCUGUUUUGAUUUUUGCCCCCAAACCAACUCUCCUCCCUAGUCCUUUGAACCCUCAACCAAGAUCCAUGAAGAUCCACUGGUCUUCAGUUCAAAAUUUUCAAACUACACUUGCUGCAAGUUUGGACCAGAUUUGUCAAAUUUGGUGAAAUUCAUUCAAAACCUUCUCCAAAAAUUCCAAGUAAAAUCAGGCAGCCUCUGGGUGCAUUGAGUGGUCAUCUCACCAAGUUACAGCUCCAGAAAAAUUCAUCUCAUUGCAAAACCUCUCUGUCGAACACCUGCAGUGCAUGGUCAUGUCAAGUUCAGAAAGUUCAGAGAUUCAGUCAGUGGCCUGCUGUCGUUUUCUUCAGAGAAGGACGUCGAUCUCGCCAGUGCCUCUGCGUCGCCUUGCUCCUCGUCCCCUCCCCCUUGUUCCUGCACCGCACGAACGCCUGGCGCCUUGCGGGCGUCGGCGACGAGCAGCAGAAGGUGCGCCGCCCCGUGACCGACGCCGGCGGCGGCUUUGCGGACGCCAGCGGGAGACACGGCGCCGACGACGCCACCCAGCGCCGCCCAAACCACCGGAGCUCGCCACGUGGCCUUCCACUCCCCCGAACGCGCUGACCACCCUCGUCGUGAACCGCAGGGCGCGGAGCGCGCUCUCUGCCGCCGUCGAGCCCGUGCGGUCACCACACCGUGGACCGACGCCAUUACACCAAGACCAUCUCCGUUUAGCUGUAAAACGACUCCAGUAACCUCCACUGAUGCUGCCUGGCCACUCAAACCCCCUGCCAAUCCACUGCUCCGCCGUAAUCGCUCGCCGGAGAUUCUCCGUUCACGGCCACCCCGUCGAUCCGCCUAUAAAUAGAGGCCCCGAGCUUCAACUCGAGCACCCACCAGCCCUGCACUCCCCCUAGAGCACGACUAGCCACUGGAAGAGCCCCGAGGAGGUCUCCUUCCUCGACUCCGGCCGCCGCGACCCGCCACGGGAUCCAGCCCGAUUCGCCCCCGUGUGUGCUCCUCCGCCUCCAUUCUCUUACCAGUAGCUUCACCAUGCAUCCCUCUUUCUGACCCGCACUUCAAUUUGAAGCUUGCAGCCCUCCACCGGAGUUCCCCAUCCUCACCCGAGCCGCCGUCCGCCGGAGAAAGUGUCGCCGUCGACGUGGUGCUCCCCGUUGGACGAGUCCACCACCCACCGACGCGGAAGAAGACGCUGAAGCUCUUGGUACCCUGCGUUUCUCCUAACUCGCCGUGGUUCGACGCCGGCGUCCACCGCAGUCUUCGGGCGCCGGCGAGCUUUUCAAACCUGACAUGUGGACCCCGCGUGUCAGCCUCUGUUUUAUUCCACCUCGAACCGUUUUCUGUUGACGCCUUCGGGCAAAUACGUUUUCUCCUUUGCGCUUGCGCAUUCCCAAUUGAACCGUUUUCUGUUUUCUCAGUUAAAACCCUGGAACUUUUCCGUUUCAUUACAGAUAAGUCCCUGGACAGAAACCUUUAUAACUUUUUAAUAAAAAGGAAUUUUUGAGUGAUUCUUUUUUUGACAAUCUUCAAAUUUUGUCUAGUUUUUUAUGAGAUUUAUUUGAAAAAUAUUUGGAAAAGUUUCUGUGCACCCAUUGGUUUUCACGUUAGUACCCGUUUCGUGAUUGCCGUAGGUUCCGGAAGAGGUGACGGAGCCGCGAACUUCGCCGAGCUAGACUCCGACUUCUCCGAACCAGGCAAGCAUGUGUUGAACAUUUGAUAUGACAGGUGUUUUGCAUGUUUGCGUGAAAGUUUGUGCGUGGCAUAUGAGUGUCGGUAAAUACCUCGUUGCUUGUAAGGCAACGACCCGGAUGUUCCAAAGUUGCGAUGAUCUCUGAUGAGAGAUGGCCUAAUCAUGUGGUGACAUGAAGGGCAGCAAGGUGGUACUGUUGUAGCAUACCAGCCUUGCGUCAUCCGACUUUCUUCGACGUUAACGUGGUUGGAGCCACGUUAUCGUUCUUUUCCCGCAUGUUCCAAAGUUGCGAUGAUCUCUGAUGAGAGAUGGCCUAAUCAUGUGGUGACAUGAAGGGCAACAAGGUGGUACUGUUGUAGCAUACCAGCCUUGCGUCAUCCGACUUUCUCCGACGUUAACGAGGUUGGAGCCACGUUAUCGUUCUUUCCCCCUUCCGUGCUACCACAUGUCUCAUUGCCAGGAUGCGGUUUAGUAAGUUGGUAACCUCUUUCCGUGUACACACCAAACAGAGAGGCCGGGAUGAUGGUACCUUGGCCCAGGAUUAAAGCCAGUCAUCCGGUCAGGGGGCAUGGGUGUUUCCGGUUGGGACCGAGAGGGGGGGCACCCCCUUAGAGCGCGCGUAUAGAAAUUUGAUCCCAUGCUACGCGAGGUUGUAGCCUCCCCAUCUCAAGGUUUUUCUUGAACGUUGCCGAGGGUGAUCCCUGGCUUCGGAUGGUUGAAUUGGGUGUGUACUGGUUAGACGUGUUUCUUCCAAAACACCGUAGACGGAACUAGUCCCCGUGACUACUGAAAUCCGUUGGCUGUGGUUAAGUACAAACUCUGCAGAGUCAAUUCUUUCCAAAUCAUCGUAUCCAUGACCAAGUAAUGAAAACAUUAUAUCCAUAUCUAUCCGCGUGGAAGAAACUUGUCCCCGGUGAACAAUCUCAAGUGGUAAAUCCAGAUUUAUUGUUAUUCCUGUGGAUGGACUAACUUUAUUUUUGUCUCAUGCUUGUGAUUAUUUAUGUUCCCGAACUGUUGUAUUAUUGAGUUGUGAUAUAAGCCCUUUAUGUGACGUCGCGCAGACGUCCGACUGUGGCGUGUUCUUGUUCCUUACUUUAAAUAUAAGCCCUUUUUGUGAUGUCGCUCAGACGUCCGACUGUGGCAUGCACUGUAUUUAUUUUCUGUUAUAAGCCCUUUAUGUGGUGUCGCCCCGACGCCCGACUGUGGCAUUAUUAUUCCGCAUUUUCCGCUCGAGGAGUCUUUCAGACACUCGUUUGGCACCAGUAUUACUACUUUGCAUUUUUCCGCUCGAGGAGUCUUUCAGACACUCGUUUGGCACCAGUAUUACUAUUCUGCAGUUUCCGCUCGAGGCGUCAUUCAGACCCUCGCUUGGCACCCAGUAUUUAUUACCUCUAUGUCUGAUCGCACCGGUUAACUUGUUCAUGUGCUUCAUGUUUACAUUUGUUAUAUCUUAUGUCCGAACUGUCUUGCGAGUACUUUCAUAGUACUCACCUGGCUUGUUGAUUUGGCCAGAUGUUGACGAAGGCGAUCUCUUGGAUGAAGAGUUUGAUAGCGCGUCCGAUGCCUAGAGGAGUCCCAGUCAGUCCUGCGCGAUCCCGGAUAUUGGUCACUUGUAUUGUAUACGCUUCCGCCACCCGCAAUAAGUCUCCUCGAGCCUCACUCCGACGCUCGAAGAGCUGUAGUCUUCUGGAAUCAUAUCACUCGCUUCGCGGUGAUAUUUCCACCACCGUUAUUAUCGUGAGUUAGUAGUUGCCACCCUAUCCGCCGUAUUGUUUUAGCGGCGUGCAUGUAAUAAAUUGUUGGGCAGUCUCUGCUCAACCUUGUAUUAUAUUUAGUACUCCUGGUAUUUUUCUUCUGUGACCAAGAUAUUGUCUGCCAGUGAGAAGGAAUUCUUCCUCGCUGGUCCGUAAAAGGGAUUGGUCUCUCAAUAAUUAUUUUAUUGAAAAACCGGUCGUGACACUCCUUCUCUAUUUCCUUUCUCCUCACUGUAGUAUCCCUCUUCAAUCUCAGAUCCAGAAGCUCACGCAUGGAGGACAUGGACAUUGGUAUCGUCUGUGACGAGGGUUCCCCAAGAUCAAUGGCGUCAAGGACAGGAACGCCUGCACCCAAUGUAAUAUUCUAAACACCUGUUAUAGUUCAUUCAUCCUAGAGAUAGCCUCGACCGAAUUGCCAUGUCCAGUUGAAAUCCUCAUCUAUUGGUUCAGCUAUUAUUUUGUGAGACAAAAAAUUUACCCUUGCUUUCUCCCUACAGGAUAAUGACUACCUGAUAGUGAUUCCGUAUGCCCACAUAUUUGACCUCAUGCUGAAAGCUCUGAAGCUGCCCCCUGCAACUUGCCAUCACAAAAUAUACCCAGGCGGAAAGAAUCGUGUGACAGUCACUUUCAUUUCUACUUUGGAACUGCUAAAUGGUUCACUUGUCCCGAGUUCUAUACCAGGUGCAAUCUUAGAUAGCUAUGAAGAUGCAGAAGAUAGCGCUGCUAUGGAGGCUAUUAGAUACAUGGAAAAUGCAUAUGGCAAAGAAAUGAGGGGCUACCACUACACCCAUGUCAAGAGGCUGGAAAAUCAAGUGAGGCACCUGGUCAAAUGGUUGACUGCAUCAAAUGAGACAAUCAAGAAGCUGCGCAAAACAUGCUACUACGCUGUCAGGUAUAUGAGCUCGUAUUCUGCCCAAAUAGAAAACACAACGGCUGCUCGCCACCUGAAUGGGCAGGAUAACACCAAGGGAGUUAUGAAAACAGCUCUUGCAAGCAUCGAAGGACUGACGCAGAGGCUACGCUACAUUGCUAUGAAGUUUGAGCAGCGCCUCGAAGCAACAAGAAAAAGUUUCUGGUAAACUUUGCUCAAUGUAUCCUGGACAGCGUGCUUCAGCGGUUACUGCAACAACCACCUUUUGUUUCAUAUCUAUCAGACCAGUAUCUUUCCCAUUUUGGGCUACUCUUAGCAAGAUAUGUAUAGACUUUAGUCCUCCCUUGCUGCCUCUAUGGUGAAAAGUAGUCUAUGAUGUAGUCUAUGAUCUUUAGAUUUUGUUGUUGUCUCUAUGGUUAAAAGCGGUUUACCAUCGCUUUUGUAUAUAUGUGAAGGACUCCUCUUCUACUGUUGUUUCCAGAGCACUAUGCCUCAAGAAACAACAUUUCCUUUUAUGCAUGCUUUCACAUUAAUGUUUCCAUCAAACAUUCCUUGUGAUCAUAUCUGCAGCACUUACAAGAUCAUAUUAAGAUUUCCCAAUGGAUCCUGUACACAUUCCACCGAUCUUAUCUACUUACUACAUAUAGUAUAUAAGCUAUUCUUUUCGAACAAUAAUGUGUUAAUGCAUACUCUUACAACAGUUAGCUAAACAAUACUCACUUCCCUAGCUUGACUGCACACAAUAGCACGCUCUCAGUUCUCAGUAUAACACACUUUUCUCUGUCUUUCCAUUUUUACCUACAAUAAAAUUAGACAAAGCCUUCUCCAUACAUAUUCGUAUUGUCCAUGUAUUCAAGUUCAUAGGCAUAUAUAUUGACAUACCAUGUAUAGUUUUUUUUGCAUACAAUGAACUACCACUUUGUUUCAACAAAUUUAUCUUACGUAUUUGUCCUAGUUCAUACUAAUUAAUUGCUUGGAAUUUAUAGACGCUUACAGAAUAUGAUGCCCUAUUCCUAAAAAAGCAAAAACAAUUUUCAGAUGCUCCUAUUUUCCCACCUUCUUACACACAUCGAACUCCAUGGAAAUUGGCCUUCAUAAAAAUCACAUUCUUAUUUUCCUUUAUUAUAGCUAAGCUGUUGUGAUGUUUUACCCUGGGAUGUUUGCUACUGGCAGAAACCAUAUCAUGUGUUUUCGAUAUUCAUGUUUUCUUUCGUGAGCUUUCAGUAUGUAUGUGCAACCGAAAAUUAUUUGCCAAUAACUCACUUGUUAAUUCUUAAAUUUUAUUGUGUGUUGGUAGCAGAGUUGGUGCAGAACAAUAAACUUAGCCAUUAAUUUAUGAGAAUUCUUUGCUUCACAUGAUACCAUCUGUUCAAUACUCUUACAACAAAUCCGUAAUAGCAAGGUCAUAUAUAAGUAAACAAAUUACAGCUAAAAUCAUAGUACGUCCUUCAAAUGAUAUCGGUUACCAUGAAACUAUUUAUCGUGUCUCUUAUGCCCCAAAUUGCCAUUGCACCUUCCUUUGUCAGAUAAAUAAUGGAAACAUCAUGGUAAAACUGUGACCAUAAAGCUACAGAUCUUCAUCCAAACAAAGAUGAACUGGGAAUUAGCACAUUGUUGCCCAAAAAAUAGACCCGGUUCAGCUGCGAGGUCUUUUUUUGUGGGUAAAAGGAACAAGACUAUGAUGAGCAAAAACACAAAGACAUGUGACAUCAAAAUAAUGCUGGCCAACACAAAUCCGGUCACAGAAACAACAGCAAAGCAAGACCCCAGCUAGCAACACCUACAAGAUUUAUAUCACUAAAUUUUCUUCUCCUGGUGAAAGUUACUUCAUGCCUUAAAACAAACAGCAUUGGAGGCUUAGCAAACAGCGCAUAGGUCACACAUGGUUCACAAUUUCAAUCACCGUUCCAUUACAUAAACAUCAUGACAGAUAGAUCACUACCAAAAGGAAUGCAUACUGCCUCCCCAACUCAGCACACCUGACUAGAGUCCAUGCAACACCUAAACAUAACUAGACAUGGAACCAUAACUAGACAUAGGUAUAUAUACAUAGCCUUAUGGAACACCUUAGAUACACAUCCUUAAACGCUGCGUUGUAGACACCUGCACAAGUACAGACUUACUUAGACCAGGCAAUAAAAUAGCAAUCCUUGUGCAAACUAAACGCAUGGUGCAUGUACAUACCUUCUAGAUCUUGUGAACGGUGAAUUCUGGUUUCCCUUUGCAAGCUCGAACAGAGAAAACACAUAUUUCCCCUUUUGUCAGCUUUGCUUCCUCUGCAAAGUCACUCCAGUUAUGUGUUAUGGCGGCCCUGUUGUCCACGCCAUUAUUAAGGCGAACACGUCUUGCACACAGACCAACUGAUAGCUUGAUCUUCACCCCAUCAACUGGAGUGGUAAUGAAAUCCACCAAAUGCUCUUUAGUGAAGGAAGUACAGAAGUACUACAAAAACACAUCAGAGCUAUAGUCAAAUGAUAUGAUAGGCUAAUACGCUGAUGCAAAUGUAAGUACACUAAAAAAAGUCAUACCAUUCUCUGCCCAGCCUUGGUAAAGGUUUUGUUCAUCUCACAGACGUAGUGGCCAAUAGCAGGCUUAACUGACUUAAUAUAGUGGCUGAGACGCUUCCGAGCACACAUUGACAUCUUCAAAUUCUUUGAAUACAUCCAUCUACCAUUAGAGUCUGGAUUUUAGCCUGCAACCAAAACCAAACAGAUUGAUUUGAUUCAGCCAACAAACAGCAGAAUCAGUUAAUCAUGAGCAAGCAACGCUUACCAACUGUGUAGUGUUUAGGACAGUCACACACGGACAUGCAUAGCUUCCAAGGCUUCUUUACCUUCAUCCGCUUAUGCACUCCUACAUAAUUGAACAAGCCAAGAAAGUAUAAGUGCAAAGGAUUACAAUAACUGGCACGGUUAUAUGCAAGUUAGGCUCUGAAUUUAAAAAAGCAUUCCAAACAAAAAUAACCCAAGACUGGAUAGUUUCAUCAUUGCUGAACAAAUAAAAUAGCAGAGAUGGUAUUCGUCUUAUGAUGUUAUUGAUCAUAUGGAGAUGUAUAACAUCAUGCCAGCAUAGGUUGAUCAUUCGUCGCCUUCACGAUGCUAUACAUAUGUCACGCAAACAAUAAAAUACUUACUAUACAUAUACAUACGUCCUCCAAUUUCCAUAAAUUAUAACAAAUAGUUUUCAGCCAAGAACAGAGCUGGGAGCAACAAAAAUGACACAAUUAAUCAAAGCAUAAACCUAAGAAUAGGUCGCAAUGUUACAUAGUGCUCAAGGAAUGUUCAUCCCGCUACUUUUGCAGCCUAAAAACAUUCUCUGUAGUCUACUCUCCUCCAUUUGUUGCCUAUCCCAGUAAGUACAUGGCAUGAGGGUUGAAUAAUGAAUAUAUGUAGCUAAAAAGACAAAGAGUUGAGGCAUCUUAAAAUAUAAAAAGGAAACCUAUACAAUAAAUGUGAUGAAAGCCAGCAAAACUGAUACUUCCAUCACAAACUAUAUCGCAAAUUGAGAUCAUAUAACCACUGUUAAUGAAUCGGACCUAAAAUCAUACUUCCAUCACACACUAUAUCGCAAAUUAAGAUCAUGUAACCACCAUUAGCAAAUCAGACCUAAAAUCGUGUCGGCCAGUUCGGUCAUACAUAUAUUUAAUACCAGGUUUUGAGAAUAACAAUAAGCUAUUAACCACACCAAAGUACUGCAUGCCUUUCUUCUGCUUUAUACAAACUAAAUUUCUCUGAAAUCCUCACAAUUCCUGUCAGAGCUCCUGCCUUGAAUGUGAAAGCUUUCAUGCCUUUCUUCUACUUUAUAUAAACUAAAUUUCUCUGAAAUCCUCACAGUUCAUGUCUGAGCUCCUCCCUUGAAAGUGAAAGCUUUCAGUUCUAGAAUUUGUGGCUCGAAGUACAUGCAAUGAAGCUCCAGGAUACUGAGAUGCACGUGUGAAAAAGUACCUUUAGAAGAGGUGGUAUGGGCACCUUCAUCAAAGCUCCUGUAUGAAUCUUCGUCAGAGCUCGUGUAUACACCUUCAUCAGAGCUGGUGUAUACGCUUUCAUCUGAGCUGGUGUCCCCGCCUUCAUCAGAGCUUAUGUGCCUUCCUUCAUCAGAGCUGAUGUACAUCACUUCAUCGGAGCUCAUACGCAUUCCUUCAUCAGAGGAGCUAUCAGCACACCCAUCUGAGCUGCUAUUCGAGUGUUCAUCAGAGCUACUGUCAGUGCUUCCAUCAGAGCUGAUAUCCACAGGAUCGGUUCGAGAUCCCCUCAUGAGCCCCCGUCGCAGGAACCUACAAAAUGAUGGAUCUUCAAUCAAAACAAUGCCGCCAUUGAAAUAACCACGGCGAUUUACUUCCCUAUGGGCACAUCCCUAGAUAUAAAAAAUACAACUCGGGAUCUAUCAUGCCUAAAAAAGGAGACAGGAGGGGUGGAAAUCGACACAUAAAUAGGUGAGACGCAAGUUCCAGAUAAGUCAAAGCUAAAUCCAAACAUGCAGACAAAUCCAAAAUCAGAACAGAGCUGAAAUCGCACCGGGCGGCGGCUUCGGAGACGCCUCUGACGCCGAACUGAAGAGACGAGGAAGAAAGGGGAUACACAGGCUCGCUGGAUCCACUCGCUGCCGCUUCAUAUUCAGCUCUUCACGGGCCACGACUGUCGCUAUUCGUCGGCCGGGCUACAUAACAUUGGGCCAUCGAAAUACUUAUCUCCAUAUACACAGAACAAAAAGGUGUUUCUUUUUUUUCUUUUGUUACUCACAAGAAAAGGUCUUUCUUUUCCUUCACGUAAAAAUACAAACAUUUGCAAGGCACGGUUCUGUUUUUCCAUUUACUAUUACAUCUACUUCAAUUCCUCUUACAGAAGCCAGUAUUCAUUUAUUCAAAGAGCAUCGUUAUUUCAUAUUUGUGACAUAACUAAAAAGGUAUUUACCUUUCUGCGAGGCAUUGGCCAUCCUACAUGACUUAGUGCAUCAUUUCCAACCUACUGUACUUACUGCAUAUAAUAUAUGAGCUAUUCUUUUCGAACAACAAUAUGUUAACGCAUACUCUUACAAUGAUUUGCUUACACUCGGCCUUUGCGCCAUUGGUGCAACGGGUCAUCUAGUGGGGAAGAAACAGUGCUGCUCUUGUAGCCAAAGGUAGUUUUUCUUACGGCUGUCGGUUGCAAUUUUGGGACACGGAUGAUAUGAAGAUUGAAUUUUGGAUUUAUUUACUUUUCGAUAAAUAUUAAUUGGAGUUUGUCGUUGUUCUCGGAGUCAAAUGAUUCCAACAUAGAGGAUUUUCUUUUCGACGACAAUGUUGAACAACUCGUCUUCUUGCAACUCGUCCAAGAAUUUGAGGCCGACAAGAAGAGAAAGCGUCGAGGAUCAACGGUUGGCCGUCUUUGCAUUCCACGGAACUGAGCUCUCAGCCAUUCCUUACUCAUGAAAGAUUACUUCCUGAGGUGCUGACCUAUUCGGCUUACCUCUUCCAAAAGCGUUAUCGAAUGCGCAUAUCUCUUUUUGUUCGCAAUGUGGAAGCUUGCGAGCAAACUUGUCAGUUUUUCACUCCCCAGAGGAAUGUCGCUGGUUUGCUUGGGUUUAGGUUAUACCAAAAGAUAUCGGCAGCAGUGAGAGUGAUAGCAUAUGGCAUUCCGGCUGACAACACUGAUGAGUAUCUUCGCAUUGAAGAAGAUACCACGCUCAAAUGUGUGUGGUGUUUGCCAAAGGUUUGACCUGUGUUUUUGGUCCCAAGUAUCUCCGAGCUUACAAUGAGGACACAAAGAAGUUGAUGGUGGUAAAUGAAGUGAGAGGGCGGCCGAGAAUGCUUGGGGGUGUGGGUUGCAUGCAUUGAAUUUGGAAAAGAGUGCCCCUACAGCUCGGCACGCGUAGUACACCGGCCAUCAUCGUGGUCCCACUACUGUGCUAUAAGCCAUGGCUUCAAACGACUUUUGGAUUUGGCACUGCUUCUUUGCUUUGCCGGGUUCACUCAAUGAUAUCAAUGUAUUGCAAAUAUCACAUUUUUUGCUCGGCUUGCCAGUGUAGAUGCUCCGGCUUGCGACUACACCGUCAAUAGACAUGACUAUACCAUUGGAUAUUAUCUUGCCGACGAUAUCUAUCCUUCGUGGUCAACAUUUGUGAAGACCACUAGUAAGCCAAAAGGCAAUAAUCAAAAUUAUUUUGCUCAAGCACAAGAAGCAUACCCAACGGAUAAUGAGACGACAUUUGGUGUGUUCCAAGCUCAGUUUGCCAUUGUUCGAGAUCCUGCUCGCUUCUAGGAUAAGAAAUACCUCUCAAAUAUCACAAUGUAGGGGUCCAGAAGCCUCAAAGAUCAUAGUAUCUUUGGUCAGCACAUUUAAUUCCAACCUCGCAUUGCAUGAGAUGAUAUGUGUAAAAACACUCGCACAAUGCAUUAAUGGUAAUAGCAAUAACAAAAUUCGGUUGGCAAUAGAUAUUGAACGGUGUGCCAGUUGCAAGGCUCCUGCCACACCUGGACUUGCACAGUUGACAUGAUGGUGUCGUCAUUUUCCUAUUAGUGAAGAUACUUAAUGGCUAAAAUAGACUACAAAAAUUCGAUUGUGCACAAAAGCAUUCAUCGGAUUGUACACAAAAUCAUAUCAAUCGAUGAUUCAACACUAAAGGACUAUAUAUCAUCUGAUCGUUUCUAAACUAAAAACUAUUCUACACUCAACAAUUUCUACACUAAAUACUCUAUUAAAGUUGGAUUCUACACAAAAGCAAUCAGAUUCUACACUACUAAAAUUUCUACACAAAGCAACCCAUGGAUUCUAUGCUACUAAAUCGGAUCCUACUAAGUAUAAAAUCUAAUCCUACACUACUAAAUCGGAUUGCACUAAGUAUAAAUCCCGAUUCUACACUACUACAAUCGAAUUCAAAGGAACAAACAUUGGAUUCUAAAUCACUAAAAUCAAAUUCAAUACUACUUAAAUUCUACAAAAAUCACCUUAUUCCAUGAAACCCAUGGAUUCCAUGGUGUCCGCGGAUGAAUGAGGCGCGAGGGGAGUGGUAGGAGUGGCACGAGGGGAGGGAACUAAACCUGCUGCUGACGGUGUGGCGAUGAGCGUGCAUGUAGGUUCGGCGACGACGAGCGGCAAGGUUCGAAGCUGGUUGCGGUGGAUGGACGAGGGAGUGCGUGAAAAUGAAAUAGAGAAGAGAGGUCCCUAGUUUUUUUUACUGAGGAAGUGAAUUGAGAUGGACCAGUGGUGGCGCGAGCCUAAAACGCCACGCCAUAACUAAGUAUAACCCAAAUAAAAAAGACUAAGAAUAAUAAAAGACAAAAUAUAAUAAAAGGCACAAAAUAAUGAAAAAGAUACAAAAUAAUAGAAAUAAUAAACAAUCAAAAUAAUAAAGGACUCAAAACGAUAAAAAGAGUCAAUAUAAUAAGAGUAAAAUACACCGGAGAUCCUAAAAUAUCAAGUGCAUCAAGUAGGUCCUAAAAGUUUGAAACCAUUUGCCGCAGGUCCUAAAUUUGUGUAAGUCAUUCACCGUGUGUCCUAAAAGUACUCAAAGUGUGUAAAGUAGGUCCUAAAAGUCGCGGGUAAAAUACAGAUAAAGGAUUAAAAAUAAUAAAAGACUCAACAUAUAAUAUAAAAUGUUCACUGUUUACAAAUGAUAUUAUUACUUUAAUAAAAGUAAUAACAUUAUUUUUUCUAAUAUAAUUACUCAAUACUUAAAACACAUGAUAAAAAUAGAAAAUUAUUUCUGGCAUAAUAGAAGUUUGCACGCCAGCACUAGACUAAUUAACUACGGCGUGCAUAGAAAUCUAACACACCACCAUCUUCCAACUGGUCAGUACAGAUGGACUCAUCAAUUCUGGCGUGUUAAAAAAAGCAACGCCAGCACUAACAUUAUAAAGCUGGCAUCCAAAUAUGUUAACGCCAUCAUUAUUUUAAAAAAGAGUGGUGACAUUGAUUGGAAAUGGCGCGCCACCAACUAAAGUUAUGACUAACAAUUUCUCUACUAAAGUUGUGACUAACCAUUUCCCUACUAGUGCCCGCCAUAUAACCAUUUCAAUUUUAUAUAUAGUAAGGAAGGUGUUUAAAAACAUAUUUACUAUAUCCGGGAUAGUCUAAGAUUUGAGCAUGACACUUCAAAUGGUGUGUAGACAACACUGAAAAAAUUGAACGAAAAAUGAUGUAAAAUAUUUGAGUUUUGUGUGGUAGGCGAUGAUAUCUUUGAAACUCUGAUACUUUGUCAAAGAGUGUUCAGUUUGUACACGAACUGCAUCAAGUUUUUGUCGUACCGCUCUCAAACUUUUACCACACCAUAUGGAGGUCCUAUGAUGCCACCAUGCCAAGUUUCACCCCAUUCCGAGGUCAUUUCCACGUGGUGUUGAACCAAAGAGCGUUUGCCUUUUUUAGUUACUAGAAAAUGAAGUAAUAAUGUUUUGAAAAUAGCAAACCAACUCAUAAAGUGGUAGAAUUUGAGAAUGACAUUUCCCAUGGUGUGUAGACAACACAAAAAAAGUUUGAGCGAGAAAUGAUGUAUAAUUUUGUUUUGUGUGCGGUAGGCAGUUGUUUUCUGUUCGAAACCCUAAUACGUCGCUGGAGAAUGUGUAGUUUGUACACGAGGUGCAUCAAUUUUUUAUUCUAACAGUCUCAACAUUUUACGACGCCAUGCGAAGUUUCAUCCGUUCAGAGGUCAUUUGUGUUGGGGAACGUAGUAAUUUCAAAAAAAAUCCUACGCACACGCAAGAUCAUGGUGAUGCAUAGCAACGAGAGGGGAGAGUGUUGUCCACGUACCCUCGUAGACCAAAAGCGGAAGCGUUAGCAGAACGCGGUUAAUGUAGUCGUACGUCUUCACGAUCCGACCGAUCAAGUACCGAACGCACGACACCUCCGAGUUUAGCACACGUUCAGCCCGUUGACGUCCCUCGAACUCCGUUCCAGCCGAGUGUUGAAGGAGAGUUUCGUCAGCACGACGGCGUGGAGACGAUGAUGAUGUUCUACCGACGCAGGGCUUCGCCUAAGCACCGCUACAGUAUUAUUAAGGUGGACUAUGGUGGAGGGGGGCACCACACACGGCUAAAAGAUCAAACGAUCAAUUGUUGUGUCUCUAGGGUGCCCCUGCCCCCGUAUAUAAAGGAUCAAGGGGGGAGGUGCGGCCGGCCAGGAGGGGGCGCGCCAGGAGGAGUCCUACUCCCACCGGGAGUAGGACUCCCUCCCUUUUCCUUUUUGGGUUAGGAGAAGAGGGGGAAAGAGGUGGAGGAGAAGAAGGAAAGGGGGGCGCCGCCCCCCUCUCCUUGUCCUAUUCGGACUAGGGGGAGGGGCGCGCGGCCCUUGCCCUGGCCGCCUCUCCUCUUCUCCACUAAGGCCCACUAUGGCCCAUUAACCCCCGGGGGGUUCCGGUAACUCCUUCGGUACUCCGGUAAAAUCCCGAUUUCACCCGGAACACUUCCGAUAUCCAAAUAUAGGCUUCCAAUAUAUCAAUCUUCAUGUCUCGACCAUUUCGAGACUCCUCAUCAUGUCCAUGAUCACAUCUGGGACUCCGAACAAUCUUCGGUACAUCAAAACAUAUAAACUCAUAAUAUAACUGUCAUCGAAACGUUAAGUGUGCGGACCCUACGAGUUAGAGUACUAUGUAGACAUGACCGAGACACGUCUCCGGUCAAUAACCAAUAGCGGAACCUGGAUGCUCAUAUUGGCUCCCACAUAUGCUACGAAGAUCUUUAUCGGUCAGACCGCAUAACAACAUAUGUUGUUCCCUUUGUCAUCGGUAUGUUACUUGCCCGAGAUUCGAUCGUGGGUAUCUCAAUACCUAGUUCAAUCUCGUUACCGGCAAGUCUCUUUACUCAUUCCGUAGUACAUCAUCCUGCAACUAACUCAUUAGUUGCAAUGCUUGCAAGGCUUAAGUGAUGUGCAUUACGGAGUGGGCCCAGAGAUACCUCUCCGACAAUCGGAGUGACAAAUCCUAAUCUCGAAAUACGCCAACCCAACAAGUACCUUUGGAGACACCUGUAGAGCACCUUUAUAAUCACCCAGUUACGUUGUGACGUUUGGUAGCACACAAAGUGUUCCUCCGGUAAACGGGAGUUGCAUAAUCUCAUAGUCAUAGGAACAUGUAUAAGUCAUGAAGAAAGCAAUAGCAACAUACCAUAAGAUCGAGUGCUAAGCUAACGGAAUGGGUCAAGUCAAUCACAUCAUUCUCCUAAUGAUGUGAUCCCGUUAAUCAAAUGACAACUCUUUGUCUAUGGCUAGGAAACAUAACCAUCUUUGAUCAACGAGCUAGUCAAGUAGAGGCAUACUAGUGACACUCUGUUUGUCUAUCUAUUCACACAUGUAUUAUGUUUCCGGUUAAGACAAUUCUAGCAUGAAUAAUAAACAUUUAUCAUGAAAUAAGGAAAUAAAUAAUAACUUUAUUAUUGCCUCUAGGGCAUAUUUGCUUCAGUCUCCCACUUGCACUAGAGUCAAUAAUCUAGAUCACAUCGCCAUGUGAUUUAACAUCAAUAGUUCACAUCAUCAUGUGAUUAACACCCAUAGUUCACAUCGUCAUGUGAUCAACACCCAAAGGGUUACUAGAGUCAAUAAUCUAGUUCACAUCGCUAUGUGAUUAACACCCAAAGAGUAAUAAGGUGUGAUCAUGUUUUGCUUGUGAGAGAAGUUUAGGCAACGGGUCUGCCACAUUCAGAUCCGUAUGUAUUUUGCAAAUUUCUAUGUCAACAAUGCUCUGCACGGAGCUACUCUAGCUUAUUGCUCCCACUUUCAAUAUGUAUCCAGAUUGAGACUUAGAGUCAUCUGGAUCAGUGUCAAAAUUUACCCUUUACGACGAACCUUUUGUCACCUCCAUAAUCGAGAAACAUAUCCUUAUUCCACUAAGGAUAAUUUUGAUCGCUGUCCAGUGAUCUACUCCUAGAUUACUAUUGUAAUCCCUUGCAAAACACAGUGUAGGGUAUACAAUAGAUCUGGUACACAGCAUGGCAUAAUUUAUAGAACCUAUGGCUGAGGCAUAGGGAAUGACUUUCAUUCUCUUUCUAUCUUCUGCCGUGGUCGGGCUUUGAGUCUUACUCAAUUUCACACCUUGCAACACAGGCAAGAACUCUUUCUUUGACUGUUCCAUUUUGAACUACUUCAAAAUCUUGUCAAGGUAUGUACUCAUUGAAAAAACUUAUCAAGCGUUUUGAUAUAUCUCUAUAGAUCUGUAAGCGCAUCUAGUGCCCCUUAGUGAUUUUGGUGUAUUGAAGACUUAUAGGUUAAGGGACUAAUGUGUUUAUGAGUGUACACAGGUCUAUAAGUCUAUGAGGAGUUUGAUAUUUACAGAGAAAGUUGACCCCUAAAAAUGAAGUUCUUCGACUGAAGACUUUGGAUUUCUGAAGACUUUAUGAAGACUUUGAAAGUGAAGAAAUUGGUGUGACCUUGAAGACUUGGUAAUCAUUUGAGGAACAUGAAGCGUGAAGACUUUUGUUUUCGUAGUUUCAUUUUCUCUUUCUUGAGUCAUAGGAAACACCGUACUGUUAAAGGGGGUCGAUGAAAUACUAAGGAAAAAUUUCCAUGUGAUGCUGAACUCAAAAUCCUACACCUACCAAUCCCUUCGAGUGAAGCCAUUGGAAAUCUCAUACAGUUCAGUCAUAUUCUUCAGUGACAGAGAUGAAGCUCUUCUGGUCUCUGAGGAAUCUGUUCUGACUGAGGAGUUAGGAAUUCAUCAGUGCGGAUUGCCUACACAGUGAGGAACAUGAUAGCCCUGAGGAAUUUGAGCCUCAUAUUUCCGACUGUUGCUGUGCUACGCGCCAGCUGUCCCAAAAUAUCUUAUCCACCUAACGGUCAUAUCAUUGAAGGGCAUUUAUGUCUUAUCAUGUCGGGCUGCUCCCUAGGCUAUAAAUAGUCGCACCCUACAACCACUAGCUGGUUGGCUGCUCCGAGAGAAACUGACAUUUGUCAUUUGAGAGCAUCCCAUCCUCCGAGGACUUUGAGCGAAAAUCAUCAAGUGAGGAAAACCCAAACCCAAACACCUACAAACCCAAAGUGAUUGAGCAUCACUGAAGAGAUUGAUCCUGCGUGGAUCCGACGCUUUUUACCUUUGAAGAUUGUGCUUCUUCCAGACGGUUAGGCGUCAUGGUCUAGAGCAUCCAAGAGGAAUUGUGGAUCGCCGAGUGACCGAGUUUGUGAAGGUUCGGAAGUCACCUGAAGACUUACCACGAGUGAUUGGACAAGGUCUGUGUGACCUUAGUUCAAGGAGAAUACGGCGAGGACUAUGUGGUCCGGGACUGUGUGUCCUCAGUUUAAAUACCUAGCCGCUCCAACCAGAUGUACAACUGAGACAACUGUUGGAACUGGUCUACCAAAUCAUUGUCUUCACCAAGCUUACUGGUUCUAUUUCAUCAAAUCUUUCAUUUCCUCAUUAUUGUGUUGUGUGCUUGUCAUAUCUGUGUUUGAAGACUUUGACAGAAGACUUUCUCAAUUUCCUCAGUUCAAUUUCUUCAUUCUGUUUGUCUUCAUCCUGUGCUAUCCUGUGUUUACGCUUUCUGUACUCUGAGUUUGUCUACAUUUCAUCAUGAUGACCAUGCCUAUGUUCUGCUAUGCUUACUCUUGAGUACUUAUUCCGCUGCAAGUAGUUCUUCGCUAAGGAAUUUCCUCACCCGCAAAUUCCUCAGUGAAGACUUCAUAAAAAUCGCCUAUUCACCCCCCUCUAGUCGAUAUAACGCACUUUCAAUUGGUAUCAGAGCAAGGUACUCCCUUGUUCUGUGUGAUUUUGGUUUAACCGCCUAGAGUUUUAGUUAUGUCGACCGCGGAUAUGAAGAAAGUGACAUGCCCCAUCUUUGACGGUUAUGAUUAUCCCAAGUGGAAGGCCAUGAUGAGGAAGCGCCUCAUGGCACUGAACAGCGAGCUGUGGACCAUCACUGAGAUUGGUCAUACCGAUCUAUGCAACAUGUCGGACACUGAUGAUAUUCGCAAGUACACUCGACUUGACAUCAUGGCGAAGGAUAUCAUCUGUUCCUGCCUAUCCAGAGAUGAAUUCAGGCGCAUUAUGCAUCUUUGCAAUGUGAAGCUUAUCUGGGACCGAAUCUCUGACGUCUAUGAAGGUCAUCAAACUUGUCAUGAUCCCUGGUUUGAGGAUUUCGAGGAAUCACUCAAAACGAUGACUUUCGAACCUGAACCAUCAUCUUCUGCACCAUGCCUCAUGGCAAAAGGUGCCAAGGUAACCGAAUGUUCCUCAUCCGAGUCUAGUGAUGAUGAAUCUGAUGAUGAUUUUGGACCUAGCUAUACCAAGCUUGUUUGUAUUGCCACUAAACAACAAAAGGCCUUGGAAAAGGUUCAAAACAUGCUAGAUAAAAGUGAUGAUAUGUUGGGUGAAGAAAUGGAUCGCACUAAAACCUUGACUGAAAAUCUUCAGAGACUUCAGUCUAGAUUUGACAACCUUCAAGGUCAUCAUAACACUCUCUUAUCUGAUCAUGAGAAGCUUUCUUAUGAAUUUCUUCAGAGAAAGCAAGAUCUUGAAAAGCUAAGAGUGAGUUAUGAAGAUCUUCAGAAGGAGCGCGAUUCAUUACUUGCUCAACAAAUCAGCACUGCUCAGGAAGAAUUUGUUCCUCCAUGUUUGAAAUGCAUUGAACGUGAAUCUGUAAUUCUUCACCUGAAUGUUCAAAUGCUUCUAAUGCUACAAAUUCUUCAACUGUCUCUGCUAUCACUAACUCCUCAUCUGAGGACAUUGCUAGUACCACUGACGAUGCAGGGCUGAAGGAAUUGUACAUGACAGGCAUGUACAAAAGCCUCAAAGGGCAUCAGACUCUUUGUGAUGUGCUUAAAAAGCAGAUCCUCAACAGGAACCCUAGGAAAGAGGGUAUUGCCUUUGAGAGGAAACUCAAUGCUGAUGGUACAUAUUGGAAGCCUGAGCAGUACCCCAAAACCUCAUGGGUUGCUGGAAAGGGACCUCCAGUUGAUCCAUCUAAUUUAUCUGGCUUUACAUGUGAAUCUUCUCAUUCUUCUGAUGAGUCAUUUGACUCCAACUAUAAACUGUUUAAAAAUCAGAAUGGUGAAGUAUUUGCUAGAUAUGUUGGCACUAACUGCAGGAACGGUUCUCCUAUGAAGAAAAUCUGGGUUCCCAAAAGGUGCCUUGAAAGUCUUCAGGUGAAUGUCCUCAUGACACCACCUGUGAAGAAUAGGAACCCCAGAUCAAAUUCUUCAUAUGGACCAAAUUCUUCAUAUGGAUCCAAGUCCUCAUACGGAUCGAAUUCCUCACGUGGAUCGUAUUCCUCAAAAGGAUCAAAUUCCUCAUAUGAACAUCAUCGUGCUAACAACUCUGUUUCGCAGGGAAGAGCCAAGGGCUAUGAAUAUGAGCAUUAUUCUUCUAAUCAUUAUGUUCAUAAGUCCUCGAAGAAUUUCUCUGCUUAUUCAUAUGCUUACCCUAACUCCUAUUAUGUGAAACGAAAUGGAUUGGCUUCUAUGCCACCUUUCUCGUAUGGAGCUCGCAGAGUGAUGAACUCUUUGCCACCCCUUCAGAUGUGGGUGGUGAAGAAAAAGGACUAAUCUCUUAUGCAGGGUCAGGUCUCCAGACGUGCUCAAAUGUCUGAAGAAUUUGCUGGAGACCUGAAAAGUGCCUGAAAGGACGCAGGCUAAUCAUGAAGAAAUGAACUUUCAUUUCUCACGUCCUCAUACUGUUUUAACUGUUGCAUUGCUUGAUGAAAUUGGUCUGAUGAAUUGUGAUGUUAUAUUCUUCACUGAUGAAGUAUAUGAAGUUCGUAAGCUGCACUAAUUCAUCUGCAGGAUGAUCAACCCAAAGCCACUGAGUGGGUCCUCGAUAGUGGAUGUACAAAUCAUACAUGACUGGUGACAAGAAUCUAUUGAUGGAUGCUCCCUUAUCACCAUCGCAUCUGAAGCAUAUCAUCUUCGCUGACAAAGGCAAAAGUCAGGUAUUGGGUCUAGGUAAGGUUGCGAUCACAAAGGAUCGACACAUGGACAAAGUCAUGCUUGUCGAGUCCUUAGGAUACAACCUCAUGUCUCUCUCAAUGCUUUGUGAUCUUGAUAUGGUUGUUGUGUUUGGCAAGUAUCGUUGUGUUGUGGUUAUGGAAGCUGACAAUUCCAAAGUCUUCGAAGGCUUUAGGAGAGGAGACUUGUAUAUUGUUGAUUUCUCUACAGGACCGCAACCAGCCGUGUGCCUACUUGCAAAAGCUUCAGAAGGCUGGCUAUGGCAUCGACGACUUGGUCAUGCAAGCAUGAGGAAUUUGCACACGCUUGCGAAGAAGAAGCACGUCAUUGGCAUUGAGAAUGUCAAAUUCCUCAAGGAUCACUUAUGCAAAGCCUGUGAAGCUGGAAAGAUGACCAAGGCUAAGCAUCCAGCAAAGACUAUCAUGACCACUACUCGACCAUUUGAAUUGCUUCAUAUGGAUCUUUUCGGUCCUAACCAUUACUCAGCAGUCACAAAUGAUGCAUCUCUCUAUGGCUUUGUUAUUGUUGAUGAUUACUCUCGUUACACUUGGGUACAUAUUUUCACUUACAAACAUGAAGUGCAGGAAGUCUUCAAACGAUUUUCCUCGAGGGCUUCAACCAACUUCGGUGUGAAAAUCAAGCACAUCAGGAGUGACAAUGGAACUUAGUUCAAGAAUUCUGGUCUUGAUGACUAUCUUGAUGAACUUGGUAUUACUCAUGAGUUAUCUGCUCCUUACACUCCUCAGCAGAAUGGCGUCGUGGAGCGCAAGAACAGAACUCUUGUUGAGAUGGCUCGCACUAUGUUUGAUGAGUACAAGACGCCUCGUCACUUCUGGAUUGAGGCAAUUUAUACUGCGUGCCACAUCAUCAACAGGGUAUAUCUUCACAAAUUCUUCAAGAAGACUGCCUAUGAACUCCUCACUGACAAGAAACCCAAUGUGAGUUAUUUCAAAGUCUUCGGUUCUAAAUGUUGGAUUAGAGAUCCUCAUCACAAUGCUAAAUUUGCACCGAAAGCACAUGAAGGUUUUAUGCUUGGUUACGGAAAGGACUCGCACACCUACAGAGUCUUCAACAACGUUCUUCACAAGGUUGUUGAAACUGUAGAUGUGCGGUUCGAUGAAACUAAUGGCUCGAAAAGAGAGCACCUACCCUCUGUGAUAGAUGAACCAGCACCUGAGGAAACUAUCAAGUUCAAGGCUACCGAGGAUGUCAUUCCUACCGAAGAAUCUGCUGAAGAAUUCAUUCCAGAACGUGAAAAACGUCGAGCUAAUGCACUUGAAGAAAAUGCUGAAGAAAAUGGUGCUGAAGAAAAUACUGAUCAAAUUCCUCGACGACAACCAGCUCAUCCUCGCGUUGCAAAAGAAGUGCAAGUUGAAAAGAUCAUCGAUGACAUUGAAGCACCAGGUCCUCUCACACGCUCAAAAGCUUCACAUUUAUCUAACUUUUGUGGGCACUAUGCUUUUGUCUCUAUCACAGAGCCCACUAAGGUAGAUGAAGCAUUUCUGGAGCCUGAGUGGAUUCAGGCCAUGCAAGAAGAAUUACAUCAAUUCGAGCUCAACAACGUCUGGGAACUGGUUAAACGUCAAGAUCCUCGCAAGCACAAUAUCAAUGGCACAAAGUGGAUCUACCGCAACAAGCAAGGUGAAAUGGCCUUGUGGUGAGGAAUAAGGCACGACUAGUAGCUCAAGGCUACACACAGGUUGAAGGAAUUGAUUUCGAUGAAACUUUUGCACCUGUAGCUAGACUUGAGGCUAUUCGCAUAUUACUUGCUUAUGCUAACCAUCAUGAUAUCACUUUAUAUCAAAUGGAUGUGAAAAGUGCAUUCCUCAAUGGUAAGCUUGAGGAAGAAGUAUAUGUUGCUCAACCCCCAGGUUUUGAAGAUUCAAAGCAUCCUGACAAAGUCUUCAGACUCAAUAAGGCCCUCUAUGGCCUCAAGCAGGCCCCUCGGGCAUGGUAUGAUACUUUGAAGGAAUUCCUCAUGAAGAAAGGCUUCAAACACGGUUCACUCGACCCUACUCUUUUCACUAAAUCUUAUGAUGGUGAAUUGUUUGUGUGCCAAAUAUAUGUUGAUAAUAUUAUCUUUGGCUGUACUGACCAACAUUAUAGUGAUGAAUUUGCCUAUAUGAUGAGUGAAGAAUAUCAAAUGUCUAUGAUGGGAGAGUUGAAAUUCUUCUUAGGUCUUCAAAUUCGUCAACAGCGCAAUGGCAUAUGCAUAUCUCAGGAGAAAUACCUCAAGGAUGUACUGAGGAAAUUCGUCAUGCAAGGUUCCAAAGGCGUCAAAAUUCCGAUGCCCACAAAUGGCCAUCUGUGCACUGAUGAAAAUGGUAUUGACUUCGGUCAAAAGGUAUACCUCUCCAUGAUUGGUUCUUUAUUGUAUUUAUGUGCAUCUAGGCCAGAUAUUAUGCUUAGUGUUUGCAUGUGUGCCCGAUUUCAAGCUACACCGAACGAAUCACACCAUAAUAGUGUGAAGCAUAUUCUUCGAUAUCUAGCUCACACACCAACACUUGCAUUAUGGUACCCCAAGGGCUCGGCUUUUGAUCUCAUUUGAUAUUCCGACUCUGACUAUGCUGGUGAUCGUGUGGACCGCAAGUCAACAUCUGGUACAUGUCAUUUCCUCGGACGAUCUUUGGUCUGUUGGUCCUCGAAGAAACAGAACUUCGUAUCACUGUCUACUACUGAAGCUGAGUACAUUGCUGCUGGUUCUUGUUGUGCUCAAUUGCUGUGGAUGAAGCAAACUCUCAAGGACUACGGCGUCAACAUGAAGAAUGUGCCUCUCUACUGUGACAAUGCGAGUUCCAUCAAGAUUGCUCACACCCCAGUUCAGCACUCGAAGACAAAGCACAUUUAGAUUCGUCAUCAUUUUCUUCAUGAUCAUGUGUUGAAGGGCGACAUUUCUAUUGACCAUGUGAAGACUGAAGAACAGCUAGCCGAUAUCUUCACAAAGCCCUUGGAUGAGAAGAGAUUUAGCAAGUUGCGGUGCGAGCUAAAUAUCUUAGAAUCUUCGAGUGUUCUUUGAAAAGGACACUCAUCCUAACACUUAUGCAAAAUUGAUGACUUAGAUGUGCAACACAUGAAGAAACGUUUUUCUUCAAUCAAUGAAGAAUAACACUCUAAGUGUGAAGAAAUUAAUGAAGAAUUUGAUUCUCAGAACCCUACGACAAUUGUACGCGGUGUCUGAAAUCAUCAUUCUUAUACGGUGGGUCACGCCACCACCAAAAGUUGAAAAUCUUCAAUUUGAGCUUUUCCUCAGUGAAAUUCCUCAAUUGUUCAUUUUCUUCAACUUUGCAUUGUCUUCACUGUUUCCGUCGUUUUUCUUCAUUGGCUAUAUAUAUAUAUGUUUAUGUCCUCUACAGCAUUCACUUAUGGCUAAUUCUUCAAGUUGUUUUUUCUGCUAAGUGAAUAUGAUCGGACCCUUCGCCCUCUAUGCUAUACUCAACCCAAUCUAUUCACAAAUUCUUCACGUGCGUUCUAUUUGAAACUCGUUCAAAAUCUUCACUGUGUCCUUGUCAGCUGAAGAAUUUGCGAAUGGAACUUUUAACUUAUCUUAUCCAAAUUUUCGGCUUUGCCGCUCAAACCGUUCCGCAUCCCACGAAAUACUUAUUUAUUCACCCACGAUCUCCACUUCUCAGUACGUGGGUGACACAUGUCAAGCGAAUGAGAAGGGUCAGGGGCACGUUCAUCCAAAAUCUUCGGGCGAACAGUUUUUCACCGUGGCUAUAAAUACCCCCUCUCCCCUUCCUCACUUCCUUUACUCCGCUCGACCUCUCUCCAACUCGAGCUUCUCAAACCCUAGCGCCGCCCCUACUUUAUCAUCGCCGGUGAGGAAGAGCUUCACUGCCUCGACCUCGUCGCCGCCGUACUCGCGCCGGCCGCGGAAAUCUUCACUCCACCGCCGCCGUAGCCGUCUUCCUCCGCCGAGUUAGGGCAUGGAAGAUCUGCACAGACGAACUUCUCAUCUCUACCUCACAGUUCGUCGUGUUCUUCGUCCAGGGUAAUUAAAAGUUACUUUUACUGCCCUCUUUGAUUCAAAUGAUUUCUACAAAAUCUUCAAAGGUGUUUAUUCUUCAAAUUCUUCGCACACUAAACACCUCACAUGUCAUCUGUUCUUGAUUCGUUUCUCUAAGAAAUAAUUUUUCUUCAAGAUUCCUCAAUUGUGUGGAUCUUCGAUCUAUACAACUCUGGAACCUAAGACAAAGAACGCUUAGUGAAAUUCUUCAAGACUCAUCUGGUCAAAUUCCUCAAACUUGUUCUUUUUGAAAAACCUUCUGAGAAUGCAUAUGACCUCUCCAAAUUCCUCGCAACUAUACUCUGUUCACAGGUACUCAUGUCCGCUGCUGAAUCUCUAGGUUCUCAUCAACUUAACUCAUUUGCCGCGUUCCUCGAUGAAAAGUUGCAUACUUCUUCAGAGAAUUCAAUUGUUCGAAUUCCUCAUCUUAAGAAAAUGGCUGAUGGAAAGAAGCCACAAAAAGGAGGAAAGAGGCCUGAGGUCAACACUGCAUUUGAAAUCCCUGAGGACAUCUAUGCUGGGUACUGCACACCCCCUGAGGAAGAUAAAAAUCAGCGCAAGGUGCGCAUUCAGAAGAUAGAGAGGAGAUGGGCAAGAGAGUGGAGGGAGUACACGUAUGUGACUCCCAAGUACAUGAAGAAAUUCACACUCAAUCCUCCAUGCCCAAGACCUCCGUUGGCACCUGGCCAAGAAGCUGAUCCCACCAGCCUCAAGCGCGGUGAGGAUUAUCCUGAUGAAUGGGCCAAGCACCAGGCCAAGCUGGCUAGACAAGCCAGAGAAGCAGUGAGGAAAUUCAAUGAAGACUCUGCUGCUGCUGAGGCCUCUGUCAAGCCGAAGAAAUCCAUGGCAAAGAAGCCUGCGCGUAAGACAAGUGCUUCACCUUCAAUGCCCUCAAGGCCAAGUUCCUCAGCAAUGCCCUCACGGCCAGAAUCCUCAAAGCCCUCACGGCCAAUUCCUCACGCUCCUCCUGCUCCUCCAAAAUCCUCAGCUCCUCCGCAUAAGUCCUCAGCUGCUCCGACCAAAUCCUCAGCACCUGUGCAUCUUGCCACGUGCCAAAGAACUACAGGCAUCUCUAUUGCCUCAUGAGCUUCAGCUAGUUCCUCAGCUGCUCCAAAUUCUUCAACAGGACCCUCUCUGCUGAAGACAAAGACCACUACUGGACGAGGUUCUCGCCCAAGUCCUCACAAGAAGCACGUCGCCUUCCAAGUGCCGUCUGAAGAAGACGAAGCUGAUGAUGAAGAACUUGCUGAAAUCAUCAGAGAUAGGCAAGUCAGGGCCGCUAGAGCCAAGGGCACAAAUGUGCCUCUGCUUUUGGAUCCAAAGUUGAUCCUCGAUUACAUUGAUCUCUGGCACAAGGACCCAAACACUCCUAUGCCUGACUUCAUGCUGACUCCUGGCCAAAAUCAUAUGCUGACUGCCUUCAUCCAAGAAGAGAAAUGGAAAUUUGAGAAGGCCAGGCAGAUCAAGAAAGCGCAGUACAGGAAGGAGAAAUUCCUGAAGAACAACGUUGUCUCUAUGACAACUGAUGAUCUUGUGAAGAUCCAGUCUGAAAUCAAAGUCCCCAGCGAUGAUUUCAAUGCUUACUAUGUUGAUUGGCAAGGAGCCAAGGUCAGGUUUGUUAAACUGACUGAGAAGUUCACCUCCAAUGUUGCAGCCCCAUCGCAACAAGAAAUUCCUCAGACUGAAGCAUCUGCUCAGUCAACUGAAGAACAUGCCAGCACUGCUGAUGAUAUUCAGGCUGCUGAAGAAAAUGUGAGUUCCAGGGCUAAUGACUGCAUUCCAACCGCUGAUGAAAUUGCCAGGGCAUUCACUAGUGGUGCGCCUGAAGAAAAUGAAGAGGUCAGGGCAACUGCAUCAGUUGUGCCUGAAGAAAAUCAACCACAUUCCUCUGCUCCUCCCGCGCCUACACCAACUCCAAUUCUUCCAUCUGCAUCAGAUAUGAAGAAGACCAAGGCUGCAGAGCAUGCAGCAGUGAUGAAAAGGAAAGCAUCAGCUUCAUCAGAUUCUUCAGCUCCGAAGAAGAUGAAGAAAUUGACCAGCUCAUUUGCAAACCCCAUUGAUGCUGUUCCGAUCUCAACCAUGCCAUCAAAGGACCUUGUUCCUUUUGAUGAAGAAUAUGUGAUCCCUAGCGGAUCUGAUGAAGAAAAUCCUUCUGCUGCUUCGUCAGAGCAGAUGGAUGAAGAAAUUGAAGUGGAUGAAAUCCCUUCAACUCCAGCUGUUUCCUCGCCUAUGCCUCAGUUUACUGCUGAAGAGGCCGGCGUUGAAGAAAUAGAAGAUGAAGACGUGGACAUUGGCUGUAUCACACCAGUGAUGAAUGAUGACUUUUGGGAAAGUCAGCACCCCAACUCUCCACUCUUCACACCUUUACAGCAAAUUCCUCAGUCCCCUGUUGCUACUGAAGUACAAAUGGGAUAUGAAGAGCCUCGUGCAACCCCAUCUGUCCAUGAAGAAAUUCCAGCCACUAGUGCUGAAUAAAAUGUACAUGAAGAAUUGAAGACCCAGGCUGUCACUGGAGUAGAAGCUGAAAUUCCUCAGCCUGAAGAACCUGAGAUUGCGAUUCCUGAGGUUAUAAUGCAAUUGACUGACACUCCUCAGCCCAAGCCAAAGGAUCCAUUCUCAAAGAAGCAGAAAUUCAAGGCUGAUGAUUUCUUUGGCGAGCACGUGUUCUUCACUGACUACAAUCCCUAUGAUUCUGCUCGUCUUAGAAGGAAGCACUUUUGGACCGCCAGCCAGGCCAACUUCUAUUCUUCACUACUUUUCAAUAAGGACAAAGUCUUCGAUCACGAGCAUAUUCCUCAUGUGGACAUGGAAUCACUGCCAUGCUUCACUCUUGUCCUCAGUGUGCUUCAUGACAUAGGCCUCCUCAACUUUUGCACAGACAUAGUUGAUUGGAAUGAAGAACUCAUUCUUCAAUUGUACGCAACUUUGCACAUCACAGGAGAUCCUGACGAUGUGAACUCCUGGGUUUUGGACUGGAUGACUGAAAAUACUCACUAUAAGGCACCGGCCACUGAAUUACUUCACGCCCUGCCCAUCAGUCCUCCACCUGAAGGAGCUCGUUGCAUGUACCAAGAGCCUGAGCUUACUGAUCACUAUAUUGUAACACCCCAGAUGUAAUUUUCCAUAUUUGUAACUCCAACUCUUGCCAUUUUCGGCUAUGUGUUAUGAUAUUCCCUUUGUGGUCGGGUUUUGUCUUUCGUUUUGCAUUUUGUUCAUGUCAUGCAUCUCAUAUCAUGUCAUCAUGUGCAUCUCAUUUGCAUACGUGUUCGUCUCAUGCAUCCGAGCAUUUUCCCCGUUGUCCGUUUUACAUUCCGACACUCCCACAUGCACCGGCGCACCCCUCUUGUCUCUUUUCGUGAGCGGAUGUUAAACGUUCUCGGAAUGGACCGAGUCUUGCUGAGUGGCCUUGGUACACCACCGGUAGACCACCUGUCAAGUAUCGUUCCAUUAGGAGGUCGUUUGAUGCUCCAACGGUUAACCGAGUAACCGCAAAAGCCUUAUGUGUGUUGCAGCCAAACCCCCUCCAAACAGCCCAAUAACCCAUCUAAGCCCCCUCCAUGCUCUCAGUCGUUCGAUCACGAUCGUGUGGGCGAAAACCGCACUCCAUUUGGAGUUUCUCAGCUCCCUCUACCUAUAAAUAAGUGAUCCCCCAGAUUUUUCGCGCAGACGAAACCCUAGCCCGCUCCCUCUCCGCCGCCGGACGCGUCCGUCCCGCGCCGGACGUUCCCGCCGCCNNNNNNNNNNNNNNNNNNNNNNNNNNNNNNNNNNNNNNNNNNNNNNNNNNNNNNNNNNNNNNNNNNNNNNNNNNNNNNNNNNNNNNNNNNNNNNNNNNNNNNNNNNNNNNNNNNNNNNNNNNNNNNNNNNNNNNNNNNNNNNNNNNNNNNNNNNNNNNNNNNNNNNNNNNNNNNNNNNNNNNNNNNNNNNNNNNNNNNNNNNNNNNNNNNNNNNNNNNNNNNNNNNNNNNNNNNNNNNNNNNNNNNNNNNNNNNNNNNNNNNNNNNNNNNNNNNNNNNNNNNNNNNNNNNNNNNNNNNNNNNNNNNNNNNNNNNNNNNNNNNNNNNNNNNNNNNNNNNNNNNNNNNNNNNNNNNNNNNNNNNNNNNNNNNNNNNNNNNNNNNNNNNNNNNNNNNNNNNNNNNNNNNNNNNNNNNNNNNNNNNNNNNNNNNNNNNNNNNNNNNNNNNNNNCCCCGGUCGCCGGACCCGCGCCGGCGUGCCCCGUCGCCUCCCCGUCCCGCCGGCGCCUUCACCCGGACCGCUCCGGCCAGAUCCUCCUCCUUCCAACUCCGGCGAGCUCCGGCCCCGCCUUGACAUCCGUGCCUGCCCUAGAUCCAGAUCCAAAUAAGGUUGACCCCGAAAAUCCUCUAAGUCCCGAAGUUAUCACAUUAUGUUGCUAUGUUCAUCACAUCAUAUCUCAUUGCAUACUGCUCCGUUUUGUGUGCAUGAUAUACCGAAAUGUUCGUCACGAGAUGCUCUUCAUUUUUUUGUUUGUGCCCUGCUCGUUUGAGUUGAUCUUGAUGCUCAAAUCUCUGGUGCAAGUGUGCUAUAUGAUGUUUACUGCUGUUACUUAUCAGAACUUGAUGGUUUGUUAUUUUUGUUGCAUUUGAUGUGUGCAUCUUAUAGGUUAAGGGACUAAUGUGUUUAUGAGUGUACACAGGUCUAUAAGUCUAUGAGGAGUUUGAUAUUUACAGAGAAAGUCGACCCCUAAAAAUUAAGUUCUUCGACUGAAGACUUUGGAUUUCUGAAGACUUUCUGAAGACUUUGAAAGUGAAGAAAUUGGUCUGACCUUGAAGACUUGGUAUUCAUUUGCGGAACAUGAAGCGUGAGGACUUUUGUUUUCGUAGUUUCAUUUUCUCUUUCUUGAGUCAUAGGAAACACCGUACUGUUAAAGGGGGUCGAGGAAAUACUAAGGAAAAAUUUCCAUGUGAUGCUCAACUCAAAAUCCUACACCUACCAAUCCCUUCGAGUGAAAUCAUUGGAAAUCUCAUACAGUUCAGUCAUAUUCUUCAGUGGCAGAGACGAAGCUCUUCUGGUCUCUGAGGAAUUUGUUCUGACUGAGGAGUUAGGAAUUUGCCAGUGCGGAUUGCCUACAUAGUGAGGAACAUGAUAGCCCUGAGGAAUUUGAGCCUCAUAUUUCCGACCGUUGCUGUGCUACGCGCCAGCUGUCCCAAAAUAUCUUAUCCACCUAACGGUCAUAUCAUUGAAGGGCAUUUAUGUCUUAUCAUGUCGGGCUGCUCCCUAGGCUAUAAAUAGCCGCACCCUACAACCACUAGCUGGUUGGCUGCUCCGAGAGAAACUGACAUUUGUCAUUUGAGAGAAUCCCAUCCUCCGAGGACUUUGAGCGAAAAUCAUCAAGUGAGGAAAACCCAAACCCAAACACCUACAAACCCAAAGUGAUUGAGCAUCACUGAAGAGAUUGAUCCUGCGUGGAUCCGACGCUUGUUACCUUUGAAGACUGUGCUUCUUCUAGACGGUUAGGCGUCAUGGUCUAGAGCAUCCAAGAGGAAUUGUGGAUCGCCGAGUGACCGAGUUUGUGAAGGUUCGGAAGUCACCUGAAGACUUACCACGAGUGAUUGGACGAGGUCUGUGUGACCUUAGUUCAAGGAGAAUACGGCGAGGAAUGUGUGUCCGGGACUGUGUGUCCUCAGGUUUAAAUACCUAGCCGCUCCAACCAGAUGUACAACUGAGACAGCAGUUUGAACUGGUCUACCAAAUCAUUGUCUUCACCAAGCUUACUGGUUCUAUUUCCUCAACUCUUUGAUUUCCUCAUUACUGUGUUGUGUGCUUGUCAUAUCUGUGUUUGAAGACUUUGACACAAGACUUACUCAAUUUCCUCAGCUCAAUUUUUUCAUUCCGUUUGUCUUCAUCCUGUGCUAUCCUGUGUUUAUGCUUUUUGUACUCUGUGUUUGUCUUUGUUUCAUCAUGAUGACCACGCCUAUGUUCUGCUAUGCUUACUCUUGAGUACUUAUUCCACUGCAAGUAGUUCUUCGCUAAGGAAUUUCCUCGCCCGCAAAUUCCUCAGUGAAGAAUUCAUAAAAAUCGCCUAUUCACCCCCCCUCUAGUCGAUAUAACGCACUUUCAAGAUCUUGAUGCUCAAUACGUAAGCAGCUUCACCGAGGUCUUUCUUUUGAAAAACUCCUUUAAAACACUCCUUCAUGCUUUGCAGAAUAAUUCUACAUUAUUUCCGAUCAACAACAUGUCAUUCACAUAUACUUAUCAGAAAUGUUGUAGUGCUCCCACUCACUUUCUGGUAAAUACAGGCUUCACCGCAAGUCUGUAUAAAACUAUAUGCUUUGAUCAACUCAUCAAAGCGUAUAUUCCAACUCCGAGAUGCUUGCACCAGUCCAUAGUUGGAUCGCUGGAGCUUGCACAUUUUGUUAGCACCUUUAGGAUCGACAAAACCUUCUGGUUGCAUCAUAUACAACUCUUCUUUAAGAAAUCCAUUAAGGGAUGUAGUUUUGAAAUCCAUUUGCCAGAUUUCAUAAAAUGUGGCAAUUUGCUAACAUGAUUCGGACAGACUUAAGCAUCCCUACGAGUGAGAAAAUCUCAUCGUAGUCAACACCUUGAACUUUGUCAAAAAACCUUUUUUCGACAAGUCUAGCUUUGUAGAUAGUAACACUACUAUCAGCGUCCAUCUUCCUCUUGAAGAUCCAUUUAUUUUCUAUGGCUUGCCGAUCAUCGGGCAAGUCAACCAAAGUCCACACUUUGUUCUCAUACAUGGAUCCCAUCUCAGAUUUCAUGGCUCAAGCCAUUUUUGCGGAAUCUGGGCUCAUCAUCGCUUCCUCAUACUUCGUAGGUUCAUCAUGGUCAAGUAACAUGACCUCCAGAACAGGAUUAUCGUACCACUCUGGUGCGGAUCUCACUCUGUUUUACCUACGAGGUUCGGUAGUAACUUGAUCUAAAGUUACAUGAUCCUCAUCAUUAGCUUCCUCACUAGUUGGUGUAGUAGUCACAGGAACAGAUUUCUGUGAUGAACUACUUUCCAAUAAGGGAGCAGGUACAGUUACCUCAUCAAGUUCUACUUUCCUCCCACUCACUUCUUUCGAGAGAAACUCCUUCUCUAGAAAGGAUCCAUUCUCAGCAACAAAUAUCUUGCCUUCGGAUCUGUGAUAGAAGGUGUACCCAACAUUUUUCUUUUGGGUAUCCUAUGAAGACGCACUUCUCCGAUUUGGGUUUGAGCUUAUCAGGUUGAAACUUUUUCACAUAAGCAUUGCAACCUCAAACUUUAAGAAACGACAGCUUAGGUUUCUUGCCAAACCAUAGUUCAUACGGUGUCGUCUCAACGGAUUUGGAUGGUGCCCUAUAUAACGUGAAUGCAGUUGUCUCUAAUGCAUAACCCCAAAACGAUAGUGGUAAAUCGUUAAGAGACAUCAUAGACUACACUAUAUCCAAUAAAGUACGGUCAUGACGUUCGGACACACCAUUAUGCUGUGGUGUUCGAGGUGCCACGAAUUUGUGAAACUAUUCCACAUUGUUUUAAUUGAAGACCAAACUCGUAACUCAAAUAUUUGUCUCCGCGAUCAGAUCGUAGAAACUUUAUUUUCUUGUCACGAUGAUUUUCCACUUCACUCUAAAAUUCUUUUGAACUUUUCAAAUGUUUCAGACUUAUGUUUCAUUAAGUAGAUAUACCCAUAUCUGCUCAAAUCAUCUAUGAAGUUCAAAAAAUAACGAUACCCGCCGCGAGCCUCAACACUCAUCGGAUAGCAUACAUCAGUAUGUAUUAUUUCCAAUAAGCCAGUUGCUUGCUCCAUUGUCGGAGAAUGGAAUUUUAGUAAUCUUGUCCAUAAGGCAUGGUUCGCAAGCAUCAAGUGAUCCCAAAAAUCCCAUCAGCAUGGAGUUUCUUCAUGCGCUUUACACCAAUAUGACCUAAACGGCAGUGCCACAAAUAAGUUGCACUAUCAUUAUUAACUUUGCAUCUUUUGGCUUCAAUAUUAUGAAUAUGUGUAUCACUACAAUCGAGAUCCAACAAACCAUUUUCGUUGGUGUGUAUGACCAUAGAAGGUUUUUAUUCAUGUAAACAGAACAACAAUUAUUCUCUAGCUUACACGAAUAACCGUAUUGCAAUAAACAUGAUCCAAUCAUAUUCAUGCUCAACGCAAACACUAAAUAACAUUUAUUUUAGGUUCAACACUAAUCCCGAAAGUAUAGGGACUGUGCGAUGAUGAUCAUGUCAAUCUUGGAACCACUUCCAAUACACAUCGUCACUUCACCCUUAACUAGUCUCUGUUCAUGCUGCAACUCCCGUUUCGAGUUACUACUCUUAGCAACUGAACCAGUAUCAAAUACCGAGGGGUUGCUAUAAACACUAGUAAAGUACACAUCAAUAACAUGUAUAUCAAAUAUAUCUUUGUUCACUUUGCCAUCCUUCUUAUCCACCAAAUACUUGGGGUAGUUCUGCUUCCAGCGACCAGUUCCUUUGCAGUAGAAGCACUUAGUCUCAGGCUUAGGUCCAGACUUGGGCUUCUUCACUUGAGCAGCAACUUGCUUGUCGUUCUUCUUGAAGUUCCCCUUCUUCCCUUUGCCCUUUUCUUGAAACUAGUGGUCUUGUCAACCAUCAACACUUGAUGUUUUUCUUGGUUUCUACCUUCAUCGAUUUCAUCAUCAUGAAAAGCUCGGGAAUCAUUUUCGUCAUCCCUUGCAUACUAUAGUUCAUCACGAAGUUCUACUAACUUGGUGAUGGUGACUAGAGAAUUCUGUCAAUCACUAUUUUAUCUAGAAGAUUAACUCCCACUUGAUUCAGGCGAUUGUAGUACCCAGACAAUCUGAGCACAUGCUCACUGCUUGAGCUAAUCUCCUCCAUCUUGUAGGCAAAGUACUGUCAAAGGUCUCAUACCUCUUGUCGUGGAAUUAACAUGUCAGAUGUCCUAAGUGUAAGGACUUAGUCGUGAGGCCAACGCAUAUAUGUAGUAGCUUGAGAGGGGUUGGUUGGGAUGAGAGACGCAGGGCGGAUCAACGCACAAGACAAGGGUUUAGACAGCUUCGGGCCCCGGGAAACAUCAUCCGGUAACAACCCUACGUGAUGUUUGAGGCUAGGUCUCAUUAUGAUCACGGGAGAGUCGCCGGCUCCGGCUCUCGGUGUUUAGCCCUAGAGGUUGUUUCUUGUUGCUCGUCCCUCUUUGGGGUGCCCUGCCCCUCCUUAUAUAAGCUAGAGGGGCGGGUUACAUGUGGAGUCCUAGUAGGACUAGGACUAGUCUAUCUUCUCUUACAAGUUAAUUACAAGUCCGGGUCUUGCUUCCUUAUAAAGGAAAUAUUCGUCAUCCCUUUCCUUUUAAGUCGGCCCAUCAUAAACGUGAGCCGGCCUUCUGGGCCUUGGGCCUAGUCUUCUAUCUGACCCGCCGUCGGGGUCAUCCGUGAGUCGUCUGGUAGUGAGUCGCCAAUCUUCCGGCGGGUCACGGUGAGGCGCCAAGUCCGGCCGGGUCAUACAUCUGGCCGGGUCAUACCGCGGGGUAUAUCCCCGACAUUAGCCCCCAGUUUAAUUUGGAUUCAUCCAUGUUAAACUAAUCUGCAAUAUAAACACAAGAACAAAUUUGACAGGUUGUGUUCCGGGUUAAAUACUCUUUGUAAGCCGGCACUUGGUCAUCCUUAAGUCCUUGUCAUCUUCCUUCUUGAUAUGUAUCCAUAAUCUCAUAGAAAAUCUCUUUAGCAGAUAUGUUCAAAUUUUGCCAAUGCAAAAAAUCCAGAUACUUCCUUUGAAAAAUCCGGGUCAACAGGCCAGCUUCAGAGUCAACUUGCUGACAUUGGUCUCUUGUUGAGAAAUAUUGUAAGAGAUAAUCCACUUGAGUCGGCUUUCAAUGCUCUGACUUGACAAAAAUAUUGGUCUUCAAAUAUUCAACUUAUAUUCAGCCGGCUUAAAGAUAUAAAACUUGCCGGUUUAUGAGUACCAAAAUUGUCGGAUUAUAAAUAACUGAUGCCAAGUCAUAAUUGUCGCCGACGCCGGUUUAUGAUUUUUGCAGACACCAGGUCAAUCUGAUUUACUCAAAACUGAGAAUUUGAAGAUAUUUUCCCCUUAUAUCCAUAUUACCUGUAGCCCCCAAGGGCCGGUUUAAUCAGCAUGAAUAAGCCGGGACUUAUCACCAUGGCUUUAAAUAAAAUCCAGUUGUGUAGCCCCCAUGAGUCGGCUAUAGUCAUAGUAGUGUAGCCGGGUCAUCCUAGAAUUAUCUUGAAUUGUUUGACAGGAGCAAUUAGUAGUCCCCAAGGGCCGGCUCAUUACGAUGUGAUGAGUCGGGUCUUCAAUGAGGUGAGCAAAAAAUGACUUUGCAUUAGCCCCCAAGUGCCAUGGUGCAUGCUGGCAGUGACAUGGGACUUGCAUAUUUGAUGUAAUAUCAAUUUGAAUAAUGUAGCCCCCAAGUGCCGGGUUGUAAGCCUGCAGCGACUCGGGACUAUUCCUUUCAUUGUAGAAUAAAUCAUAUCCAUUGAUAAAAAUAAUAGCCGUUGCGCUAAAGCGACUUUGAAAACCUCAAUCAUAACACUGGUUAUUGAUAAUCACAAUAGAAAUCCAGCCAUGAUGGCUAUUCAAGAUUUGAAUAAUAUAAUCCGGUAUGAAAACCUCAAUCAUUCAAUAUCAUUAUGAAAGUCCAGCCAGUUUUGGCUAUUAAAGAUUUGAAUACCUCAUCGGUUGACAAGUAAAUCCAGAGUUUAAAUACCUGGCGGCUCAUGGCCGAUGACGACUUAAUGCGGAUUCCUUAUAAGCCGGAAUUUUUGUAAUCCGCUGGCCUAUAUCCUUUGAGAAAAUCAAUAAUUGAUAACCCCUGCACAUAAUUAGAUCACAAGAUCCCUUGGCGGUUUACCGCAGGGCGGGUCAUAAUAUCUCACAUAUAACCACUGUGAUAUUGAAUUUGUACUGCCGGUUUACAUGACCUGUGCAGUAAGGGUGAUAACCCAAUCCUUAGAAGCCAAUGCUUCCACAUAGAUGAUGAUUGCCGUAAGCUGGCGAUUUAUCAUUGAAAAUCAAGCCGGGUUAAAUAACAACCACUCAUAUACACUUUAGAUAUGAAAAAGAGCUUCAAAUAAAAUCCAAAAAUUGUUUGCAAAAAGAGACUUCAAAGUUUUUGAGACUUCUGAUUCGAAUACGAUCAGAAAACCAUCCCAAAGGGGUUAAGCUAAGAUUCGAAUACGAUCAUAUAGCCCCCAGUGGCUUUGGCGUUGCCGAUCAAGAGGGUACCGACAGCUAUGUUCUCUUUGGUUCGAAUACGACCUAUGUUUGAACAGGAAGCCCCCAAAUGACCUUGAGAGUUGUUUAACGACGCUGAUUCGAAUACGAUCCACGUCGGUUCCCAAAGGGGUUGAGCUAUGGUUCAAAUAUGACCAAGAAACUCCCCAAUGAGCUCGGCAGUGUGCCGAUCAAAAGGGUAUCGACAGCUAUGUUCUCUUUGGUUCGAAUACGACCUAUGUUUGAACAGGAAGCCCCCUAGUGAUCAUGAGAAUAUUUAACGACUCUGAUUCGAAUACGAUCAGGGUCACACCAAAAGGGUUAAGCUAAAUUCAAAAUACGAUCAGCUCCCAAUGGUCAUUAAAGCAGGGUACCUAUAUUUGAGUUGUGCUUUGUAACAGACUCUCUUUGGUCCCUUUAAUUUUUCCUGAGAACUCGAACUUUGCGAGAGAUAACCUCUUUUUGAACCGGAAAUUUGUAAACCGGAUAUUAAGAGCUUCAAAGCUUUAUUAGAUACAAAUUUACCUUGAGCCGGACGUUUGAACCAGAUUUGAGAGCUUCAAAACUUUGCGGGAGAAAGAUAUCUCUGGAACCGGAUUUUAAACCGGAAUCUUUAUUUGAACCGGCAAUUUUCUGACGGCCUUUAAAGUUUCAUCAACAUGGUAGCAGCCUCCGGAACCGGGUUAUCAUUCCCUCCAACGACCCGGGGUUCCCGAGUCACGUCACUGUAUCCCUCCAACGACCCGGGGUUCCCGAGUCACGUCACUGUAGCCCCCGAGUCUAAAGAUGACUCGAGGAGUUGGCUUGAGAUUCUCCAUAUUUAACCGUGAUAUAAACCGGCAUAACUUGUAUAUUAUUGGUGUUGAUAACACGAUGUGUAUCCACAGAAGGUUGAGGUGACUCCGGCGGGUUAUAAAUGAUCCCGUAUGAGCCGUGUCAGCAACUCGGCCAAUGGUUCCUUCCAACUGGCUGUUCGAAGUUAACCAAACUGUAGUGGCGGUGACUCGUGCGCCUGCCCAUUGAACCAUCCAGUGCAGACGAUGGCUGAUAAUAUACGAUAAUUUGCCUCCAGUUUAUUGGAAGAAAACCGGGCUUCCCAAGUAGUGACUUGCUCAUAAUCAAUAAAUAACUCAUGCAGACGGGUGCGGCUCGAUGCGUUGAUGUAGACCAGGCCGCGAGAGACGGAUGGAAAAGACGACCGCCGCGUCAGAGGCAGCUCAAACAGAUGAUCCGGCCGUGGCAUUGUAAGCCGGCGCGGAUGAGUGACUUUAACCACAUCGUUUUGACGUAGUGAACAAUUGUCCUGCAUCAACACUACUGAUGUGCCAGGCCGGAAAUAAUCCGCCAUGAAAUUAAUGUCUGCUAGGUGAAGUUGAAGUCGCUCAUGGGUGAACCGGCCGCGGCGUGGUAAACCGGUGCAGACGAGUGAGUCGACCGUGGCGUUGUAAGCCGGCGCAGACAGCGAGUCGGCCAUGGCGUUGUAAGCUGGCGCAGACACGUGAACCGGCCGCGAGGGCGGACGGGCGAGUCGCCCGUGGCGUUGUAAGCCGGUGCAAACGGGCAAAUUGUCCUCCUCGUUGUAAACCGGCGCGGUCGCAAGAAACGGCCACGGCGUGGUAAGCCGGCGCGGUCGCAAGAGACGGCUACGGUGCUGUACGCCGGUGCGGGGUCCGUUGAAUAACGAAGACCACCUGUGCCAAAAGAUGUUGGCGUGCCUCCAUCUCCGCAGUAUAGUAUCACUAUUUGUCAUAAAUAAUUGCCCUGCAUAAACAAUAUUGCAGAUCAAGGCAGAGAUAAGCUUGUUCUUUUGACAAAACAACAUGUGCUAAUAAAACAAACUUGGAUGUAUAUCACCUGAUUUGUUUGGACGACGUAUGAUCCGUUUAUCGUGAUAGAGGCGGCUCAGGCAGACCGACAACUCCAUAUUGCCCGGGCGGCUCAACAUGGCAGAGGCGGCUCAACACAGCAGCGAAACGGAGGCAUCACCAUGGCGGCGGCUCAGAAACUGCAGCGGCAGCGCGUUUGAGACGGCGGAGGCGGCGACUUGAACAGCUUGACACGAACGCGAGACGACCCGGGGGCAGGCGGCGGCUCAUCGUGUGACGGCGGCAGAGACGCCCGGCCGGUUCAUCGGUGGAGAAAGCUCGCAGGUGGAGCAGCUAUGAUUCAUAUAGUAUCUGAAGACCACCAUCGAUCCAAUGAUUAUAUCACAAACUAUUGCGGCGAGGUGGCCAGCGCGGGACUCCAGCGUGCGACAGGUCGCGGGGGUUCGAAUCCUGCCUGCGCGGAAAAUUUUCUAGUGUAGCUCAUCUGUUCUCAGAUGAAAUUACUAUACGGUCUUGAUUAGCAGUAGCAUCAGGGAAACAACCAAAGUAGCAUGCUGAUUCGGUUUUACUUCUUCAUGAAUACAGAUCGUAGCAUUCCUCCAAGAUGUAUUCCUUCAGUAUUUGUACAUGAGGAGUACUAGUUGAGAUAGUACUAAUUGGAGUGCUUGUCUGAUCCGGUCUUUACUUCACAUCGAGAUUUUUAGCAGGUCCCCUUGGGACGUGAGACAGCCGCGCCGCAGAGCGACUCUCAGGCGUGGCCUGGCGACUUGGCCGCGGAGGAUUGAGAUGGAGACCCGCAGAGGCAGAGGCGGUGACAGCGACUCGACGACGCAGGGCCACGGGGCGAGCUUUGGCCAUGGCGGCUCAGAGGCGACGCCGGUCAACGGAGGCAGUCCGACGAGUCCGAGUCCACGCUGAAGUAACCAGCCAACUCAGAUUUGACGUGUCUUCUUCAGAAGUCUGUCCGUUUCGGCGACUUGUAAAAAACAAUUAAAUAAAUCAUAGGAAGGCCGGGGCGGAUCGACUGUAACCCUAAUUCUUUUUCAACUUCAAUCUCAUGGAUUGUAAAAUCUUCAUCCGAAAAAUUGCAAACUCCUCGAUCCUUGGGGAGAUCCCUUCAAGAACUCAUCACCACCGUGCGCAUGCCCCACGGUGGGCGCCAACUGUCGUGGAAUUAACACGUCAGAUGUCCUAAGUGUAAGGACUUAGUCGUGAGGCCAACGCAUAUAUGUAGUAGCUUGAGAGGGGUUGGUUGGGAUGAGAGACGCAGGGCGGAUCAAUGCAGAAGACAAGGGUUUAGACAGCUUCGGGCCCCGGGAAACAUCAUCCGGUAACAACCCUACGUGCUGUUUGAGGCUAGGUCUCAUUAUGAUCACGGGAGAGUCGCCGGCUCCGGCUCUCGGUGUUUAGCCCUAGAGGUUGUUUCUUGUUGCUCGUCCCUCUUUGGGGUGCCCUGCCCCUCCUUAUAUAAGCGAGAGGGGCGGGUUACAUGUGGAGUCCUAGUAGGACUAGGACUAGUCUAUCUUCUCUUACAAGUUAAUUACAAGUCCGGGUCUUGCUUCCUUGUAAAGGAAAUAUUCUUCAUCCCUUUCCUUUUAAGCCGGCCCAUCAUAAACGUGAGCCGGCCUUCUGGGCCUUGGGCCUAGUCUUCUAUCUGACCCGCCGUUGGGGUCAUCCGUGAGUCGUCUGGUAGUGAGUCGCCAGACCCGUGAGUCGCCAAUCUUCCGGCGGGUCACGGUGAGGUGCCAAGUCCGGCCGGGUCAUACAUCUGGCCGGGUCAUACCGCGGGGUAUAUCCCCGACACCUCUCGACACGGGCAUGAGUAUGAAAUACCAAUUUCAACUCUUGGAACAUCUUAUAUGCUCCGUGGCGUUCAAAACAUUUUUGAAGUCCCGGGUCUAAGCCGUAAAGCAUGGUGCACUUAACUAUCAAGUAGUCAUCAUACCGAGCUUUUGUCAAAACGUUCAUAACGUCUGCAUCUGCUCCUGCAAUAGUUCUGUCACUUAGCGGUGCAUCAAGGAUAUAAUACUUCUGUGCAACAAUGAGGUUAAUCCUCAGAUCACGGACCAAGUCCGCAUCAUUGCUAUUAACAUCUUUCAACUUAGUUUUCUCUAGGAACAUAUCAAAAUAAAAACAGGGGAGCUAAACGCGAGCUAUUGAUCUACAACAUAGAUAUGCUAAUACUAUCAGGACUAAGUUCAUGAUAAAUUUAUGUUCAAUUAAUCAUAUUAAUUAAGAACUCCCACUUAGAUAGACAUACCUCUAAUCAUCUAAGUGAUCACGUGAUCCAAAUCAACUAAACCAUAACCGAUCAUCACGUGAAAUGGAGUAGUUUUCAAUGGUGAACAUCACUAUGUUGAUCAUAUCUACUAUAUGAUUCACGCUCGACCUUUCGGUCUCAGUGUUCCGAGGCCAUAUCUGCAUAUGCUAGGCUCAUCAAGUUUAACCUGAGUAUUCUACGUGUGCAAAACUGGCUUGCACCCGUUGUAGAUGGACGUAGAGCUUAUCACACCCGAUCAUCACGUGGUGUCUGGGCACGACGAACUUUGGCAACGGUGCAUACUCAGGGAGAACACUUUUAUCUUGAAAUUUAGUGAGAGAUCAUCUUAUAAUGCUACCGUCAUUCAAAGCAAGAUAAGAUGCAUAAAAGAUAAACAUCACAUGCAAUCAAUAUAAGUGAUAUGAUAUGGCCAUCAUCAUCUUGUGCUUGUGAUCUCCAUCUCCGAAGCACCGUCAUGAUCACCAUCGUCACCGGCGCGACACCUUGAUCUCCAUCGUAGCAUCGUUGUCGUCUCGCCAAUCUUAUGCUUCUACAACUAUCGCUACCGCUUAGUGAUAAAGUAAAGCAUUACAGGGCGAUUGCAUUGCAUACAAUAAAGCAACAACCAUAUGGCUCCUGCCAGUUGCCGAUAACUCGGGUACAAAACAUGAUCAUCUCAUACAAUAAAAUUUAGCAUCAUGUCUUGACCAUAUCACAUCACAACAUGCCCUGCAAAAACAAGUUAGACGUCCUCUACUUUGUUGUUGCAAAUUUUACGUGGCUGCUACGGGCUUAGCAAGAACCGUUCUUACCUACGCAUCAAAACCACAACGAUAGUUUGUCAAGUUGGUGCUGUUUUAACCUUCGCAAGGACCGGGCGUAGCCACACUCGGUUCAACUAAAGUUGGAGAAACUGACACCCGUUAGCCACCUGUGGGCAAAGCACGUCGGUAGAACCAGUCUCGCGUAAGCGUACGCGUAAUGUCGGUCCGGGCCGCUUCAUCCAACAAUACCGCCGAACCAAAGUGUGACAUGCUGGUAAGCAGUAUGACUUGUAUCGCCCACAAAUCACUUGUGUUCUACUCCUACAUAUAACAUCAACGCAUAAAACCAGGCUCGGAUGCCACUGUUGGGGAACGUAGUAAUUUCAAAAAAUUUCCUACGCACAGGCAAGAUCAUGGUGAUGCAUAGCAACAAGAGGGGAGAGUGUUGUCCACGUACCCUCGUAGACUGAAAGCGGAAGCGUUAGCACAACGCAGUUGAUGUAGUCAUACGUCUUCAUGAUCCGACCGAUCAAGUACCGAAUGCACGGCACCUCCGACUUCAGCACACGUUCAGCCCAAUGACGUCCCUCGAACUCCGAUCCAGCCGAGUGUUGAGGGAGAGUUUCGUCAGCACGACGGCGUGGUGAUGAUGAUGAUGUUCUACCGAUGCAGGGCUUCUCCUAAGCACCGCUACAGUAUUAUCGAGGUGGACUAUGGUGGAGGGGGGCACCGCACACGGCUAAAAGAUCAAACGAUCAAUUGUUGUGUCUCUAGGGUGCCCCCCGCCCCCGUAUAUAAAGGAGCAAGGGGGGAGAUGCGGCCGGCCAGGAGGGGGCGCGCCAGGAGGAGUCCUACUCCCACCGGGAGUAGGACUCCCUCCCUUUUCCUUGUUGGAUUAGGAGAAGAGGGGGAAAGAGGUGGAGNNNNNNNNNNNNNNNNNNNNNNNNNNNNNNNNNNNNNNNNNNNNNNNNNNNNNNNNNNNNNNNNNNNNNNNNNNNNNNNNNNNNNNNNNNNNNNNNNNNNNNNNNNNNNNNNNNNNNNNNNNNNNNNNNNNNNNNNNNNNNNNNNNNNNNNNNNNNNNNNNNNNNNNNNNNNNNNNNNNNNNNNNNNNNNNNNGCCGCCCUGUCUCCUUGUCCUAUUCGGACUAGGGGGGAGGGGCGCGCGGCCCUUGCCCUGGCCGCCUCUCCUCUUCUCCACUAAGGCCCACUAUGGUCCAUUAACCCCCGGGGGGUUCCGGUAACCCCUCCGGUACUCCGCUAAAAUUCCGAUUUCACCCGGAACACUUCCAAUAUCCAAAUAUAGGCUUCCAAUAUAUCAAUCUUCAUGUCUCGACCAUUUCGAGACUCCUUGUCAUGUCCGUGAUCACAUCCGGGACUCCGAACAAUCUUCGGUACAUCAAAACAUAUAAACUCAUAAUAUAACUGUCAUCGAAACGUUAAGCGUGCGGACCCUACGGGUUCGAGAACUAUGUAGACAUGACCAACACACGUCUCCGGUCAAUAACCAAUAGCGGAACCUGGAUGCUCAUAUUGGCUCCCACAUAUUCUACGAAGAUCUUUAUCGGUCAGACCGCAUAACAACAUACAUUGUUCCCUUUGUCAUCGGUAUGUUACUUGCCCUAGAUUCGAUCAUCGGUAUCUCAAUACCUAGUUCAAUCUCGUUACCGGCAAGUCUCUUUACUCGUUCCGUAGUACAUCAUCCCGCAAAUAACUCAUUAGUUGCAAUGCUUGCAAGGCUUAAGUGAUGUGCAUUACUAAGUGGGCCCAGAGAUACCUCUCCGACAAUCGGAGUGACAAAUCAUAAUCUCGAAAUACGCCAACCCAACAAGUACCUUUGGAGACACCUGUAGAGCACCUUUAUAAUCACCCAGUUACGUUGUGACGUUUGGUAGCACACGAAGUGUUCCUCCGGUAAACGGGAAUUGCAUAAUCUCAUAGUCAUAGGAACAUGUAUAAGUCAUGAAGAAAGCAAUAGCAACAUACUAUACGAUCGAGUGCUAAGCUAACGGAAUGGGUCAAGUCAAUUACAUCAUUCUCCUAAUGAUGUGAUCCCGUUAAUCAAAGGACAACUCUUUGUCUAUGGCUAGGAAACAUAACCAUCUUUGAUCAACGAGCUAGUCAAGUAGAGGCAUAGUAGUGACACUCUGUUUGUCUAUGUAUUCACACGUGUAUUAUGUUUCCGGUUAAUACAAUUCUAGCAUGAAUAAUAAACAUUUAUCAUGAAAUAAGGAAAUAAAUAAUAACAUUAUUAUUGCCUUUAGGGCAUAUUUCCUUCAAUUUGCAAAUUAUGUUGAACCGAAGAGCUUUUGCACUUUUAGUGGCCAGAAAAUGAAGUAAUACAUCUAAAAUAGCAAUCCAACUCAUAACGUGACAAAUACGAUGGCGGCGGUGGUAGCCAUAGAUUUGUCAUUUUUGCGCCGGCAAUGGCACGGAGAGGCUCAAAUCUAGGUGGGAGAGGACCGCGGUGGGGCCUAUGGAGCGUCCGCGGUGGUGAGGGGCGGGAAGGAUGUCGCCGGCGUAGAUGCAAUGAGAGUGGGGUGGGUGAGCCAACUAGGGGAGGGGAUUUUUUUUCUCCAGCGGUUAGCAGCCCAGUAAAUAUAGGCGCCACAUAGGAGCCAGAGUAAAGAAUUUACCACUCUAUUCGGUUUAGGGAAUCGGCCAGGUGCCGGUUAGAGAAGUAAAACCGAAUUUUUAAUCUAACGUCGGAUAGGGGAUCGACUAGAGUUGGCGUAAAGCAUUACAAACAAUUAUAACGGAUCGGUUAGAGAUGCUUUUAGAGCAUCUCCAAUAGGUGGUCCAAAUGUAAAAGUAACUAACUUUUCGAUCGUCUGAGACGAAAAACGCAGCUUCAACAGACGGUCCAUAUGUAAAAAAAUAGAUCGCGGCCUCCUCGUGAUGUAAAAUACAACACCUCGCGGUGCAAAUUUACAUCACGAGGUGCAUCUGGUCCAAAACCAGCCGCCGCCCGCGAACGCCCAACCGCCAGUUCCUUUCCUUUCCCGCCCACCCGCCUGUGACCUCCCGCCCGUCCGCCGCCGCCCCGCCACCGCCCCGCUGCCUCCACACCCCGCCGCCGCCCCCCGCCAUUGUUUGCACGCCGCCCNNNNNNNNNNNNNNNNNNNNNNNNNNNNNNNNNNNNNNNNNNNNNNNNNNNNNNNNNNNNNNNNNNNNNNNNNNNNNNNNNNNNNNNNNNNNNNNNNNNNNNNNNNNNNNNNNNNNNNNNNNNNNNNNNNNNNNNNNNNNNNNNNNNNNNNNNNNNNNNNNNNNNNNNNNNNNNNNNNNNNNNNNNNNNNNNNNNNNNNNNNNNNNNNNNNNNNNNNNNNNNNNNNNNNNNNNNNNNNNNNNNNNNNNNNNNNNNNNNNNNNNNNNNNNNNNNNNNNNNNNNNNNNNNNNNNNNNNNNNNNNNNNNNNNNNNNNNNNNNNNNNNNNNNNNNNNNNNNNNNNNNNNNNNNNNNNNNNNNNNNNNNNNNNNNNNNNNNNNNNNNNNNNNNNNNNNNNACCGCCCCGCAUGCCGCCGCCGCCCCGCAGCUCCGCCCCACCCGGCUCCGUCCGCCACCGCCCCUCAGCUCCGCCCCGUCCGGCUCCGUUUGCCACCGCCCCGGCCGCACGCCGCCGCCGCUCCACCGCUCUCACUGCUCUUCGAUGGCGCCGAGGAAGACGCCGAAGGGCAAGUCGGGCUUCUUCGGUGUGAGGCAGAAGCCCUCCGGUAACUUCGGAGUGGAGUUCUCCAACGCCGGGAGGCAUUGUGGAUCGACAUGUACCCCUCCGCCCACGAGGCCGCGCGUGCCUAUGACGUGGCGGUGUGGCGUGCCGAGAGGCCUCGGGAGCACCUCAACUUCCCAGAGAUCGAGAGUCGGCGGAAGGGGCGGAAGCGGAGAUGCUUGUGCCGCAGGGCAUCAGGAUGAAGGAGAUCCCGACGAAGAAGAAGACGACGAAGAAGCCAUCGGUUGUAGUCAGUGCCGGCGAGACCGGCGAGGAGGCGAUGGCGAGGUUUGCUCGGGAGCAUCCGGAGUACGUCCAGGCCGAGCUGGAGUACUACUGGAAGCAUGAGGCGGAGCAGAAGAAGAAGGGGGUGAAGAAGGAGGACGAGGCAUCGACUAAUUGGUAUUCGAAUGAGUUUCUCUGUAAAUGUGGACAAGAUUUGUAUCAUAAAUAUGAAAACAGAGACAUGAUACAGUAACAGCAAGCAAAUUGCUGAGUUAGAACAGAAGAGAUGGAAAAUACUGCUGCUGCAAGUCAGACAAUACUUUCAUUGUUGCGGUUUGUACAAAUCCUGAUGCAUGAAUUCCACAAACACUGUAACCUAAUGUACAUAAAAUUAUUAUUGACCUAAACCCUGAAAUCAACGCGCGCAUGGACGAUCGAUCGGUUGCAUCUUGCGCAAUCUGACGUAGCUCUAGUGCUGAAGCCCAUCUUCGACGAUGAUGAGUUCCCACCGGACAGUGAAGCAAUCGUCCUUGAGAUGCUCGGGACCUUUCGAAGGCCUCCCUCGAUAUGUACCUGGGGGAGCCGAUGCAGACUCUGCUAGGCACGUGAGUUAUCGGAUUUGUACCAACAACUCUAGGAUCAUGAUAUGCAACCUGGUCGACGAAAGUGAACAGGGCGUGCACUUUCAGAGGGCGCGUGACAUCCUGGAUGAGAGUGAAAGAGAGAGCCAUGAAAUCGGCGUCCUCCGGGACUCUACCAUUGGGGAAGAUCUCGAUUACCCAACGAUAACCGCCCAGCAUGAAUGGGGAAGACUCUAUUGCCAUGCCAGUUGGUAAAUCUUUGGCGCGGGAGUAGCCGACGACCUCGAACAGGUGGAACUCGCUGGGCGCUUCGGCUCCGGCAGCGGCAGCGGCAUCGGCUGUUGCCCAUGCCGGCGACGGCAUGGGCGCAUGGCGAGCUACUUUGUGCCUGACGGAUAUAUACGGUGACUAAUGGAUGUUUGCUAGAGUUUCUUUUCUCUCUCAUCCAACUGAUUCUAUAUAGAGUAGCAGUGUCAACCCUGAUUUGCGGAUUGGUUUGUUUUGCCUUUUAUUUAGCUGAUUUGUUAAGAUACGGUCCUCAUAAACUUAGAACAGACAUCUCUCGCAAAAAAAAGAAAAAAAAACUUAAAACAGUCGCCCACCUCCCCGUCGAGGGCGCCAUGCGACCAUUCCAAGACUGAGCCAGUAAGUUCUUCCACUCAAGGGCUCAAGCACGGCCCAUACCCGAACGAGAAUGGUAUGAGAUUUCUUCUACUCCCUCUGUCCACUUUUGUAAGUCGCUUAAUACUAGGUGAUGUCUUAAAUAUUUUGUGUUAAUGUUUUUUGAGAAUGAUAUCUUAAAUAUUUAAAACGUCUUACAAAAGUAAACCGAAGGAGUACUUUUUUUAUUUUUUGAGGAAGUUCUAUAAUCUGCACUCAACCUUAAUAGAACGACACGAUAGCGUGGGACCAAAUAGAACAAUAUGAUAACAACGCCUUUGGUUAGCAUCUCUAGAAUAUCCGGAAAUAUGCCCGGGCCGCUAUAAUAAUCACCGUUUUUAGGUAUCGGGGCGAAAAAUGUCGCGUGCAGGUCUUAAAAAAUAGCCCGUCCCAAAAAAACAGGAGUAGUGGUAUAUUUUGGCCCGAGCGCCGCAUGUCUAGUUUUUGGCCCCUCUUUAGCCGUUUCCAAAUAGCUAGAAAAAUUUUGCGGGGUGAAAGUUUCAGCUCACGCCCUCCAUUUCGUUGCGGCGUCUCGCCUUCGGUUCCUGCUCCCCCGACCACCCUGCAACGUCGAGUAGCUCCCCCGUUGUCCGACACAUCUUUUCCAUCAAUUCGGGACCACACGGGUGGCCAUUCCAUCCCCACGCGCAUGGCCGCCGCGGCCAUGGACCAGUUGUGGGCUCCACGCGAGGUACCGUUGUAGCUGGAAGAGGGUGCUCCAGGCAUGCUGACCGCGGAUUUGUGCUCGCUGCCGCCGGACCCGUCGGCGCCGCGGGUUUGGUGCCGCGCAUCCGUGGGGAAGUAAGGGUUUUUAAGACCUAGUUUAUAAAAUUUGAUUCUACAAUGCAAAGACUCAUAUAUUGAACAUAUAAAGCCUCCUAGAGUACCCGCUUAACCAGCGCCAUUGCGGUUUGAAAUUGAUCCUGCGCGUUCGAUUGGCCUCGCUGGCUGCGGUAACAGUAGUUCUCGUCGGGCUGGUAAAGAUCCCGCCGCCCGUUUUCCUGUACGUCCGGUGAUAGGCCCAGGAGCAGCUGACGAGUGGGCGACCCUUGCGCGUGGGGCAUCGUUGCAGCGACACGCUCGGUGCGUGUUUCGUUCGAUGAAAAGCAGGGGUGGGUCGGUGGUGGGUUGUGCCCGGUGGAUCGUGGGCUGUCAGGAUUUUUUUUACCGUCAACCUACGCACCCGCCAGCGGCGUCUCCGCUUUAGCCGCGCCUGGCCCCAUAUGCCGGUCUCUUGUGUGCACCCUGCUCUGGUCAUUGUUGUUCCUGUGGGUGGCUCCGCUCGGCCCGCUAGGUAAAGGAGGGUUUUCAGCUGCUGCGUGCUGCUACGCGGGCUUGCCUGCCCUUCUCUCACUGGAGGUGGUCCCUUCUUAUCCUUGGUCCCACACGUCGGGAGGUUUGGGUUUCUUCUUAGGUAUAUGUAAAAGUAACAGCGCGUGGGAGAAGCAUUCUUGACCGGGUUCGUGGUUUCCUUCUGCUCUCCCUGCCUCUCUGCCUCCUGUCUCGUCCCACUUCCCCCCGCCUGCGCCUCUUCGCCUUACUCUCGUCCGCCAUCCAGCCACCAUUGUCGCUCGUUCUCGUUGUUCAUCGGUCAUCAACGGCUCGCUCGUUGUCUGCUUACCCCGUCGUCGGCUUGUUUCGGCAUGGCUCCUCGCGCUGCUGCUGUUGUGUUUGGUUAGGGUGGGUUUCUUGUUCAAUUUGGUCGAUUUCUGCUGCUCUCAUCGUAGAUUAAUGUGUUCUGACUUGUUCUUGUGUGUUCCUUCCCUGUUCUUUUAUUUACAGGGAUGCUGCAUCUGCUUGUGCGUGUUCCUCUUCAUUCUUUCCGAGGUGAGGUUCUCCCCUGCUUUACAAGUGUUUGAUGAAAUGCGUGGCUGGGUUUUCCCCGGUUUGAGAUCAAUCUUUUGUUUUCCGAGCCAUGGAUGAGUGUUUGUCAGGUUAGAUCUGUUCUGUGAUGCGUCGGUUGUUUUGUUUCCUAGCCCUAGGGAUUGGCUCUGUUAAUUUACAUGGAUGAGUGCCUGCCAUGUUUGAUCUGACGUGUGAUGCUUUCGUUGUUGCCGUUCCUAGACCAACGGAUUAGCCCUAUUAGUUUAGGUAUGUUUUGGUUGCGCUCUUGUCUUCGUCUCCGUUAUGGUUAUGUCUAGGUUGGCAUGGGUUCUAUUGCAGGUGAUUUCUAAUUUUGUUUCUUCCUCGGUUGUCUAGGCUUUAAUUCUCCUGACCGUCUGGCCUGUGCAUGUGGUUUAAUGCUUGUGCCUUUCUGAAUGGAGCUUGUUUCUGUUCAUUAAUUAUUUGUCUGCUGCUGGUAGGCAUGUGUGUGCUCAGGUUGCCAUUGUUCUUUGUCUGCUGCUGGUAGGCAUGUGUGUGCUCAGGUUGCCAUUGUUCUUUGUCUUUCUUCUUCCAUCCUAUUUAGUCUAGACCCUACUUUGUUUGCUGGAGAGUAAAGAUAUUGCAAAGGGCUGCUCGGUGGGAGGCGAGCCCAUGGCCUUGUGCGCAUUCGCUUAUGUUCGUUCCUUUUUUUGGUGUGCUGCAGGUCUUCCUCUGUGACGUUUGGCUGCUUGGUCGCCUGGUUUUCACGCCCCCGGUUCGCCAGAUUUGUGCUGUGGGUCAGCUCACAUGACGCCUCUCGCUCCGUCUUCCGGCUUGGCAAGGUUUUGCCUCCUUCCCUGGCUUUUGCUUUACUGCAUUCCUUUAGAAUUUAGUCUUUUAAUUGAUUCUAAUCAUGUGUGUUACGUGCGUUGUGCUGUUCUGUGCUUCUAUUUACUAUUGUUUAUUGUUCAUUGUUCCUUGUGGCUCUCUUCCUUGUUUGCUCUCGGGUGCUGUUUCUUGCUUAUAAUUCGGUCAUUCUUUUUCAUGUCCAGGAUGCCUGCUAUGGUAUCCUUUGUUUUGCCGAUCCUAGAAACUGUCAUGGCUCAUUAUGAACUUCCUCCUCCUAGCUAUCUGUGUGAGGUCGAUGGGAAUGCCGAUGUCCUUGCUGGGGUAGAGGUUGAGGUUCCUGGGGAUGGUGUGUUCGAGAUGCCACAGAGAGUUUUCUUUUGGAGUCCUGCGUGUCUGGGUUCUGCAGAGGCGUAUGAACGGGCUGCUCUUCAGGCAAUUAGUUUUUUGCAGGGACUGUAUGGAUUUGUAGUUAGAGAUUACAACUAUGACUGUGUUGUUGUCUAUAGGAAUUAUGGAAAGGACGCGGUCGCUGUUGCUGCAUCAGCUGUUCGCUAUGCAGCUUAUUUGGAGAGGAUUCUUGCUUGCACGCGCUCGUCCGCCGCAGACCCAUCUAGAAGAGUGUUCCAUGCCCCGGCCCGGCCACCUGCAAAUCUAGUGUUGCUGUACUCAAGCCUCCUAGCAUAUGUUUCCUUUAUUUAGUCAGUCUGGGAUGUUGUUAUUGUUCCAUUGUCUUGUUUAAUUGAUGGUAAUAUUGUCCUCACCGUCCUUGGGUUUGGUUCAUAAAUUUGAAUUCUGUUGCCAUGUCGAUAUCGCUGCCUUUUAUGUUUUAUAAACUGGGCUUGUCUUGUUUAAUUUCCAUCAACCCAACUUCAAGAUUUUCUGGGUGUUUGUUUUCUUUUUUGUUGCAGCACUAUGUUGUGUAUUUUCUCGUGCUCUUAGUCCCUUUGCUCGUGGUAUGGCUCUGCGUCGGGCUGUGUCCUCACGUUCUGCUGCUCCUUUGGGGAGGCCUCCUGCUUCGGGGCGUGUGGUUGCCCCGCGCAGGGCUACUCGUGCUGCUGCUGCAUUGCCUGCUGUCCCGGCCAGCUCUGCCAUUCCCCUUGUUCGGAAGAGGAAGCGUAUGUUCUGUUCCGCUUGUCCACCUCUGAAUUCAAUUGCAUGAGUUUUAGUAGCCAGCAUUUGGUUCCUUAGCAUUCUCUCUCUUUUCUAUAUCCAUAGGAGAUGGCUUCUUUCCUUUCCUAUCUUCUAUUGAGAGUGCACGGAAUCGUAAGAGGUGCAAGUUCUUGUUGAAAAUACUACGCGCUCAUAACAAGGGUGGUCAGUUCGUAUUUCCUUUAGUUGUUCAUAGGUUUCUUCUUUUUUGUUAUCUGGCAUGUUAGUGUCUUCUUAUGGUUUGCACAGAGCAUACCCUUGCGUCGCCUCUGCAUCCUGAUUGGGUUGGGUUUUCUCCUGACGAAGUGGGAAUACUUAAAGGUAUGCCUGUGUGCUGUUAUCAGCCAUAUUGCUUUCUGCCUUCCCGGUGUCAUUUGUCCUUACUAGAUACGGUUCUCCUACAGCUUUUUAUCCAAAAAGGUCGUACUAUGGAGGUCCAGACUACCGAUGCAACCGCUGCCAGGCUAGCUUUUGGUGGCGCGAGAGGGUUAAGUCACAGUCUGCUAUCACCAAAAGACGAGUGGCCUACAACAACUGUUGUAAGGCUGGGAAGGUCUUCGUUAAACCCUUUGAAAAACCACCUCCGUUCUUAGCAGAUCUGCUUGAUUAUAAAGGCCCAUCCCGCAGCUUAAAGUUUAUUAAGCAAAUACGCCAGUACAAUUGCCUGUUUGCUUUUACAUCUAUGGGGGCAAAAAUUGACCGAUCUGUAAACGAUGGUGGAGGUCCAAAGAUUUUUAAAAUUAAUGGUCAGGUCUGUCAUCGUAUAGGCUCGCUGCUUCCAAAUGAGGGUGAUUCUCCCAAAUAUGUAGAGUUAUACAUACAUGACAGAGAAAAUGAGGUUAGCAAUAGGAUCGAGGCCUUAAGUCAGCAGAAUGAAACUGGCGCUGGGUUAGAUAAGGAGAUUGUGAAGGGUCUUAUGCAGAUGCCUGAUGCAAAUAAUUCUUUGGUCAAAAAAUUCCGUAUGGCCAGCGAGAUAUUGAAAAAUAAUAAACAUGAGGUGAUUUCAAUAAGGCUUAUAGCUCUUGGAGAAAAUGAUAGCGCACAGUUUAAUUUGCCUGCAACUGAUGAGCUAGCAGCUUUGGUUUAUGGUGAGUUUACGUUGGAGGCGCCAUGUAGAGACCAGAUAAUACGCACUAAAGCAGAUCGUCUUCGUCGUAUUUCCUCUUUAGAUACUACUUACAUGCCUUUGCAAUAUCCUUUGUUGUUCCCGUACGGUGAACGUGGCUUUCAGCUCGUUGUGCACUAUAUUGAUUCUGAUAGUGAUGACCCGAACAAGAGGGUUAAAAUGACCAUGCAAGACUUCUAUUGCUUCUGCUCGCAUUAUAAACCAGAACAACAUAAUCCAUAUCUAUGCUGUGGCCUGUUUUCAUCACAGGCUGCUGUUGAUUUCUGAGCCUGCAUCGAUGAAUGCCGGCUCAAUUUUAUUCUUAAGUGUAACAAUGAUAUGCGGGCUGAGAAUCUUCAGGGUGUUGUCGAUGCGGUAGGACAGGGUAUGGUUGGUGGGUCCGAGGUUGGGAAGAAGAAUAUUAUGUCGUUGGCUUACACUGGUGGUCGCCGGUAUAUGUAUGAAAAUUUUCAAGAUGCUAUUGCUGUCUCACGGGUUCAUGGGUCGCCGGAUGUCUUCACAACUUUCACAUGUAACCCAAAAUGGGAAGAAAUCCUUGACUCCGUUGAGCCUGGCCAAACAGCAACGGAUAGGGCUGACAUUGCUGUUAGGGUGUACCACAUGAAACUUUUGCAGUACCUUCAUCGAAUUAAAAAAGGGAAUGCCUUUGGUCCCGUAGUUGCUGGUACUGCCCCUUGCAAUCCUCUUUCAAUUCCCUUCUCCUCCUUUUAUUUACUUACUGUUUCUUCCGCCUUUUCCUCCUAUUUUCAGUCUUGCACACUAUUGAGUUUCAGAAGAGGGGGUUGCCGCAUGCACACAUACUUGUUUGGCAAAAGAAGGACGACGAUAGGGUCGUCACACCAGCCCUUAUAAAUUCUUAUAUCUCAGCUGAGAUCCCUGAUCCUGUACAGGAUCCUUUGGGAUAUGCUCUUGUCGCUGAGUUCAUGAUGCACGGCCCCUGUGGCGUUGAUGGUCCAAAAUGCCCUUGCAUGAAAAAGGGCUUUUGCUAUAAAAAAAUUCCAAAACCAUUUCAGGAUGAAACUUCCAUUGAUGAAAGUGGGUUCCCCUUAUAUAGGCGGCCUGACAAUGGACGAUUCGUAAUGAAGAACAAUGUCAGGCUUGAUAAUAGACAUGUGGUCCCCUAUAACAUGCUUAUAUUAAAAAAAAUGGCAAGCACAUAUUAAUGUUGAAUAGUGUAACAAAACGUAUGUUAUCAAAUAUCUAUAUAAAUAUGUUACCAAAGGACCAGAUAAGUCAAAAACCCUGUUUGAGAACCUUAGACGUGAUGGGAACCAGGAUGUUGAUGAGAUUAAAGAGUACAGAGAGUGUCGUUAUAUAGUUGAUUAUGAUUCUUUUUGGAGGGUUUACAGCUAUGAUAUACACGGCAAAACACCAUCUGUUGAGAGAUUGCCUAUCCAUCUCCUGAACAUGCACAUCGUGCGCUUUCGCACACAUGCUACUCUGAGUUCGGUGAUUAGUGAUGCCUGGCUCCAAAAAACAAUGCUAACUGAAUGGUUUGUGGCGAACAGGGUUCACCCUGCUGCUAGGUCCUUAACUUACUGUGAUGUCCCAACUAGGUGGUCUUGGGUAGCUGAGGAUAAGAGAUGGAAAACUAGGACAAGGAGCGAUAGAAUUGGUAGAAUAUACUCUGUGCAUCCAGCGACCGGAGAGCUUUUCUAUUUUAGAAUGCUCCUUAUGAUUGUCAAAGGUGCGACGUGCUAUGAGGAUGUUAGGACUUACAAUGGCAUCGUAUACUCAACGUUCAAAGAAGCAUGUGGAGCAAGAGGGUUGCUUGGCGAUGACAUGGAGUGGUAUACUGCUUUGACGAAGCUGUUAAAUGGGGUAUGGGAAACCAAUUGCGUCAGCUGUUCGUUACUAUGAUCCUUCACUGUGAUGUCAAUGAUGAAGCUGUUUUCUUUGAAAAAUACGAGAUUUACUUAGCUGAUGAUAUUAGGUACAGAAUUCAGAAGUCGAAGAAUAAUUUCACAUAUGUUGUUCCUCCUGUUGAGUUAAGAGACAUUCUACUUGAUGAAUUAGCUGUUAUAUUUGCUGAGAAUAGUGCAUGCAUCCUAGAUCACAAACUACCCUUAAAAUCUGCAUACCAUGAUGCUUCUGUGCAAAAUGAUAUGCUUUCUGAUGCGCUAGAUGUUGAUGUUGUUAGUCUUUUAAAAAAGGCAGAGGUGAUGUAUAAUAGAGACCAGUUGCAUGCUUACUGUGCUCUAAUUGAUUGUGUCAAAUCUAGAAAACCUGGUUUUUUCUUUGUCUCUAGAUAUGGUGGUACUGGAAAAACAUUCCUUUGGAAUGCACUUGAUGCUUAUCUUAGAGGUAGUAAGAGGGUGGUGCUGUCGGUUGCAUCCUCAGGGGUUGCUGCCUUGCUUUUGCCUGCGGGCAGAACAGCGCAUUCUAGGUUCAAAAUCCCUAUUGAUUUGCCUGAUUAUGGCAAUUGUGAAAUUAAGAGGUCUUCCAUGCUCUCCACUCUAAUUGAAGCGUCUGAUCUUAUUAUAUGGGAUGAGGCGUUGAUGUCCCAUCGGAAAUGCUUUGUGGCCCUGGACCGGUCAUUCCGUGAUGUCCUGUCAGCUAACGAUCCUGCCUUAGCUAAAGUUCCUUUCGGUGGCAAGAUUGUUGUGUAAAGUGGAGACCUUAGGCAAAUAUUACCAGUCAUUGAGGGUGGAUCUCGAGCACAGAUUCUUGAUGCUGCAAUCACUAACUCUCCUAUUUGGAAUAUUGUUGAAGUUCUGCACCUAAACAUUAACAUGCGUUUGACUGCGCACACACAUGAUCCGGUGCUCCAGUCUGAAGUGGCUGACUUUGCUGAGUGGGUUCUCAGUUUAGGUGAUGGCACAGCACCUGCUGUCGCCCGUGAGGGGGAAUCAGAUCCAUCAUGGAUAACUAUCCCUGAUGAACUUCUAGUUCAUGCCGAUGGUGAUAAAAUUGAUGCUAUUGUUCAGGCCGUAUACAAAGAAAUUCCUACUAGGUACUCUAAUGUUGAUUAUCUAAAAGAAAGAGCAAUCCUAACACCAACGAACGAAACUGCUGAAAAAAUCAAUGAGCAUGUUCUGUCUUUAGUGCCUACCAGUGAGAGAGAGUACCUGAGUUGUGAUACUAUAGGGAAUUCAUCUGAUGCGGUUCGCAAUCAAGAUGCUUUCUACCCUGUCGAGUACUUGAAUGGGAUUAAGGUCAAUAACUUUCCGUACCAUAGGUUAGUACUAAAGGUAGGCGUUCCCAUCAUGCUCUUGAGAAAUCUUAACCAAUCAACAGGGUUAUGUAAUGGCACAAGGCUUAUAAUCACAAAGCUUGCUGAUAAGGUUAUUGAGGCGAUUGUCAUGACUGGUUCAAACAUAGGCGACGUUGUCUUAAUUCCAACGAUAGGGUUGACCUCCAAAGAUCCUAAAUGGCCUUUCACUUUGCAUCGUCGACAGUUCCCUGUUAGGGUGUCCUUUGCAAUGACUAUUAACAAAAGUCAAGGGCAGACUCUUUCAAAUGUUGGUUUGUACUUGGAUACACCCGUGUUCAUGCAUGGGCAGCUCUAUGUCGCGGUGUCUCGUGUUACUUCAAGAAAUCACUAAAGAUCUUGAUCAAAGGAGAGGAUGAUGAGCCUGUUUCUCAGACAAGGAACAUCGUGUUCCCUGAGAUAUUCGUUUCCAUUCGCUAGGCGGGAUUAGUAACACCCUGUAAUAUAUAACCAAUGAAUUUGCUUAGGUAUGUUUUUGUGGUUUCUAUAUUCUUCCUGCAAUAGAACCGUGGUUUUUUUGCAUAUUUGCCGCUUCUUUUGCCCUAUCUGCCAUGUCCUCCAAUUUCAUGCAUCAAAAAAACUUUUGCGCGCGUGUGUGAUGCUUUCUUUACCUGCUUGCUCACAUCGAUUUGAUUCCCCUCUACCUUCCAGCUGAUCAAGUGAGUUCAUGUGAAUAGUAUCUUUAAACUUGCUCUUUCUUUCUCUGUCUAUGCUCGUUUUCUCACCUCUGCUUGUAUAUUGCAGAUGUCGGGCCAGAGGAUGAGCCUUCUCUCCCAGAUCAAUGACAGAGAGAUGUUCUGGAAUGCUAAGGUUCUGGUGUCCCGCAUGUGGCACUACCGAGGUGGGACCGAUGAAGGUGCCAUUAUGCAUACUGACAUUGUGGUGCUUGACAAAGAGGUUUGUUUGGUACUGCAAAAUCUAUGCUCAUGUUGCUAAUUCUAGCUUGUGCCCCUAAAUUCUAAUGUAAAUGUGUAGGGAACCCACAUGUAUGGCCGGAUCCCUACUGAGCCAGCUAUCAGCCUGCAAGAUGUCUUGCAGGAAGGCAGUGUUUAUAUAAUGAAGAGAUUCAUGUGCAAACCAUCAAAGCCCACUUACAGGGUUGUUGACAGCCCAUUUAUGAUGCAGUUCACUCGCUUUACUACUGUUGAUCCUGUGGUGGAUGAUGAAGAAGAUUUCCCAUACUGCACUUACAGCCUUAUGUCCUUCUCGGAUAUCCCAAUACCAGGCCCGCACACUCCUCACUUUAUCGGUUAGUCAUUCGAUGUUGUCCUCAUGUAUGCCCUGCUUACUCUUGCUCUUCCAUUAAAUUAUCUUACAUUUGCUUUGCUAUUUACAGAUGUGAUUGGCCGGAUUAUUGCUGUCACAGACAUUAUUGUUGUACACUCACAACAUCAAGCUGGUCCUUCAGAUACCAGGACUGUGGUUCUCCAGGAUCAAAUGUGAGCCCCUUGUUUGUUUUUUGUUUGUUUUGCUUUUCUUCUGCCCUUUCCUUCUAUUUACUCGCUCCUGCUGGCUUGUAGCGGAAAUGAAAUCAGCCUUGUUCUCUGGGUGCUCGAGCCCAUGAGUUCGAGGCAGAAGAGGUCCGUGCUGCAAGUGAAUCCACAGUUGUCAUUGCUAUCUUUGUAGGAACACUGCCAAAAGCAUACCGAGGUGAUUGUUUGAUCUAUAACUCACUUUGUCGGGUGGUUGGUGCGACACUUGCCAAGGGAUGGCUUAUCAUUGUGGGAGCCAAUAAAACGUCGCCGGUGCCUAGAAACGGGAUGAGGCGAAGACAUGCACGCCGGCGGAUCUUACCCAGGUUCGGGGCUCUCCGAGGAGAUAACACCCCUAGUCCUGCUCUGCGGGGUCUCCGCAUGAUCACUAGAUCGAGAAAGGGUAGCUACAAUCGCUCCUAGAGCUGUUUGGGGUCAAGGGAGAAAAAGAACAAGGCUAGCUCUCAUUUCCCUCUAUCUAUGGUGUGUGUGCUAUGUUUGGAAGCCAACUAUGCUCAGAGGCCAACCCUUUGCAUGGGUGCUCCGAGGGGUUUAUAUAGGCCUACCCCCCGGGGAUACAAUGGUAAUCCGGAUGGGCUCUGGUCCCAGCCGUCAGUGUCUACGCUCGCCGGCUUCUCCGCCGGCUGCUGGGUCCCGCCGGCUGCCGGCUACUUGGUCGACAGGCCGACCCCACUGCCUGGGGUCUUGUCGGCGGCUGCUUACUGUAGCCGCGCCUCUGAUGACGAGGGCUUUGUCGAGGUAAGCGUGGCUACAGUGGGCCACCUCGGGGGCUCUCACUGUAGCCUUACCUCGUCUUGUCUCCUUAAUGGGGCUCCUGCUUCGAGGAAGGGAGUAGCCGGCUUCUGGAGGCCGGCUACGCUCUUGGCCGACUGGGAAAGGCCAGGCCGCCUUCACGCCUCUCUCUGGCUGAAGGGGCCCGCCGCCCGCGGGCCGUACGGGAGUCGGUCGUGGGUGACAUCAGGGCCAGCAAGGCUAGAGUGCCGAGCCGCACGGGAGACGGCCGUCCCGUACGGCCUCCUGUAGCCAUGCCCGCCUCGGGCUUUGGGGGUAGUGGGCCGCACUGUGGCCACACCCCGUCAUGUCGCCGUUAUGUGGGAACAGCUUGGAGUGGUUGUGGUCUCGGCCGGCUCUUUGGAGUCGGCGUCCUUCUUGGCCGGCUUCUUGGAGUCGGCCACCCUGUAAUCGUCCUGGGGAGGGGUUGCUGAGGUAGGGUCGCCUUCCGGGAGUCGGCUUGAGAGGUAGCCGGCCAGGGAAGGCGGCCCGAAUGCCUGGAGUGCUUGAAGGCCCAAAGGCCUGAUAAUUUUUCUGAAGAACCAGGGGUAGUCGGUUGGGCUACUCGUGGCCAUUUACUCCGACAGUAGUCCCCGAAGCUGAUUGGGCUUCGAGGUGGAGUAGGGGUUGAGAAGCUCGAUCAGCUUCCUAUCUUUACAAGCCGGCAGUUAGGAGCCGGCCUUGGUCAGGCGUGCCGCCUGAGUCGAAAUCUUCUGGAGUCAGAGGGUGGGAGCCCGCUAGCGCGCGCACCGGGCCGCGGGCCGGCCGCUGGCCGUCUGCGAACCACGGGGCCGGAAGGCCAGCCAGCCCACGCGCGUGACGGUACGUCGCCGCAGGGAGGGGGCCCGCCACGUCCGCGCCCCGGCCCAGGCGCGGAUCCUUUGUACCCCGAAACCGCCCGCACGUUCCGUGCGGCAGUUUCGGCUCGCAUUUAUGCGCAAUAAUCGCGAGACGUGGGGGGAGUGGGCGUAGUUAAUCCCACGCCCCCCACGUCCGGCCUCUUCGGCCUCGUGAGGCUAUAAGUAGGGGGAGGUGGAGGGCGGCAGGCCCUCGCACGCUCCUCCUACUUCCACCGUCUUCUUCCUCUUGCCAGUUCUUGCGACAGCGCCUCGCCGCCGCGCUCUUCCACCGCACGCUCCUCCGCCACCGUGCUAGCUUUCGCCAUGCCUCCCACCGUAGAGCAGCUUGGCGGGGAUUGGGACGGCUCCAACGUCCAUGACGACCACGCCGACUUCCUCCGCGACACGCGGCGGCUGCCCAGCGCGGACAAAGUGGAGGUCCGCCUCGCGCCGGCGAAGGAUAUCUCGCCGAGGCCGCAGGAGGGCGAGCGGGUGGUCUUCCGCUCGCACUUCUUGUGCGGCUUUGGCCUGCCAGUGAGCGCCUUAUUCCGCUCCUGGCUCGACUUCUAUCAGCUUCAGCCACACCAUCUCACCCCCAACGCGGUGGUACUGCUGUCCGCCUUCGUCACCCUGUGCGAGGGCUAUCUCGGCGUCCUCCCCACCCUUGAGCUCUGGGGGGAGUUCUUCCAGUCGAAGCUGGGCACGCGCAUUAAGGGCGUGCCGGCUCAUACUGGCGCCUUCAUCGCGUCGCGGAGAUCGGCUGCCGACAACCCCUUCCCCGUCAUCACGCUGAUCCAAUCGGUGAAGAAGUGGCAGAAGUCAUACUUCUACGUGCAGAACAUCGCUCCACGGGGCGACUACAUCAACCUGCCGGCUUACGUAGCCGGCCCACCGGCGGGCAGGCUGCCCCAGUGGUCCUUCCGGGCUGUGACGCUGUCGCCGGCGGGAAACGCCGCCAUCGCCCGAUUGCGGGUGAUGGUCCAGUCGGAGGGCCUGACGGGGCCCGAUCUUCUGGCCGCGUUCGUCACGCGCCGGGUUCUUCCGCUCCAGAGCCGGCCUCAUCUGAUCUGUCAGAUGAGCGGCCAGCUCGAUCCGAGCCGAAUGUGCACCAAGGAGAUGCCGCGCGAGGAGGUCGCCUACAUGGUGAACUACCUUGCGAACUGCAAACUCGCCGAAGCGUGGCAGUUCGGCAAGGAGCCGUAUAGCCGAGCCAAUCCGCCGCCUACGGUAUGCUCUCCCUGUGUCUUUUUCUCUCUCUCUCAGCCUUGUUGCCGAGCAUCUCUUGGCCGACUCUGACUAAGUCGGCUUGUUCUUCGACAGUGCCUUCUGCUUCGGCCGGCCGGCGGGUCAGACGCGGAGCGCCGCUUCGUGCCCGACCGGACCGAACAUGACCUGGAGGACCCCGACCUGGGGGCGGUCCAUAUGGACGAUGACGUCGAGCCGGGCGGAGGCCAAGCCGGCGGCGAAACAGGCGGCUCCGGGUUCACUGCCACCUUUGACGACUGGCCGGACGACGAUGAAGCCGAAGCCGUCCCGCGCCGCCAGCCGGCAUCGGGACGCGGCGCGGGCUCCUCCGCCGCGCAGCCUGCUCGGGGUGGAGGUCAGAAGCGUCGUGCCGCCCAGGGCUUGUUCGGCAGCCGAACGAAGAAACCCAGAGGCGGGGCCGCAGCCACCAGGCGGGAGGAGGCGGCCGCGAAGGCGGCUCGUUUCUGCAAGGUGGUGAAGCAACCGCAGACCGUGUCGGCGUAAGUCCGAAUCUUUCUUUGUGUACUCUCUUUCUUUCUUUUCUUUGGUGGUUAUUGAACUCUCGUCUUUUUCUUCAACGAUCAGAGCUCCGUUGUCACUUGAGCGGGCGGCUGCCGGCUCUGUCGUCGAGUCGCCAAGGGGCUCUGGGAGCACCACCCGCCGCGUGGACCCCCGCACCGACCUCCAGGAGGCGACGGAAAGGCGGCCGCCGCCCAGGCGGUACGGGAGGAGGCGGCGAAGGCACUCCCCGAGGCUGCAGCCAGGGCCCAGGCAGAGGCUGAGGCCGCGGCGGCGGCGGGGGAGGUUUUAAUGGUCACCCCGCUGCGCGUCAUGGCGCCUGGGGACAUGGAACCCUCGCUAGGGGAAGCCAGCAGCGACCAGCCGGGGCUGGGAGGGAAGCGGCGACGAUGUCAUCAUCUUGGAGAAGGCGCCGGAGCCGACCCCACCAACUGGGGCGGCCCAAGGCGGCCAGCCUGAUCCGCCGCCUGCACAGUCGGUGGAGGGUGAGCCGGCCGCGGGGGCUGAGGUGGCGGUCCGGAUGCCGCCGAGCCGGCGCGCGGGGAAGGCCGCGUCGGAGCCACAGAAGGCCGCGUCGGAGCCACGGCCGGCCGUGGGCUUCAGCUCGUCGGCCCGAGACGCGGAGGCGGCCAGCGCUACCUCGGGGUGGACGCCAGGCAGAGGGACAGCCGUAGUGAACGUGGCUGCACAAGACGUCCGGACCCGGCUCCAAAGCCAAGCCGCGGCGCUGAGGCAGUUCACCGACGAGUUCCUCGCAACGCGGGCGGCCAUCCGGGUUAGUACUCCCAUCUUGUUUCUUCUUGAUCUUGAUUUCUUCCGUGGGGGCGCGUCAGCGCACCCACUGGGUGUAGUCCCCGAGUUCCGAGUCGGCUGCUGAGCAGGCGGCUUGGAACUUCUUGGUAGAUUUGCCUUUGCUAUUUUUAUUCUCACUUCGGUCUUCUGUCCAUCUUGCAGGACUACCACAACCUUCGAGCGGCCGCCUUCAACUCCCAGACUCGGGAGCUGACUCAGAAGACCGCCGACCUUACUGAGAGCCGAGGUACGUGACUUGAUCUUUAUCUCAUGUGGGGGUGCGUAAGCGUACCCACUGGGUGUAGUCCCCGAGAUUCGGGCCGACUGCUGAGCAGUCGGGUCGGAUCUUCCUUGACGAUUUCUUACUGUUCUUCUUCUUCUUCUUCCGACUUUGCAGCGGCCAACGCCAGUCUGAGGGCACAGCUGGGGGAGUCCCAGACUGCUCUUCGUGCCAAGGAUGCCGAGCUCGCCGCCUUGGUGCAGGAGCGCGACCGCCUGGUCAAGAAGCUGGCCGACCAGGAGGAAGGCCACAAGGCGGCGCUGAAGGCUGUGCAGGAUCGUGAAGCCACUCUCCAGGCCGAGUUCGAGACGGAGGCGGCUGGCUGGGCUGAGGCCAGGCAGACUCUGGUCUCUGGCUACGGCCAGAUCGAAGAUCUGGUUGACGGUAAGCCGCCUACCUCUCCGUCCUUUUUUGCCAUCUGCCACAUUGGCUUGUUUUCUGAUUUUAGUGUUCUUUUCUUCCUUUCUUCUUCUUCGCGCAGAGUAUUUCCCUGGCUAUUCGACUGCCGCCAACCAGGCCAUCGAGGCCCGUCGCCAAGCGCGAAGGCAGGCCGGUUUUAAGAUCUCGCCAACCGCCGGCCGCUCGCUGGAGGAACAGCUCCUGGCGAUCCAGGCUUGCAUCCAGCCGGCUCACCGGCUGCUCCGCCGGCUUCAGCGUGCCGGGGCGCAGGUCUUGGCCGCCCUCUGGCCCGGCCAAGUGGUCCCUCGCACCCCCAGUCGGACCGCCGACUGGCUGGAGGUGGCAGUCGGCCGCUUCGAGGCUUGGAAGGUGUCGGCGGCUCGCUCCGGUGCCAGGCGGGCGCUGGAGUUCGUCGAGGCCUGGUAUCCCGGCCUGAGCCUGGACCAGCUGGCUACCUGGCGGCAGCAAGUCGACACGGAGCUGGAGCCAGCGCGUCCGGCCAUCAUUCGGCGGGCUUCGGCGAUCGCCGACUACACCGACACCAGCGUCUUCGCCCCCGAGGUGGACAACAAUGGAGUCGCCCAGCCGGAAGAGUGGUUCGGGCUGGACCCGGCGUACGGUGAGGACUCGGCGGAGGAGAUCGACUCCAGCGACGAGGGCGAAGAGGAGGAGGAGGAGGGUGAAGACGCCGAGCCGGCUGGUGGAGUAGCCGGCCAGCCACAGUCUGACCGCGCCUCCAGCACUACGUCGCGCGCCUCCACGCCUCCCGCCGCAGGUGGUGGUCAAGCCGGGGCCCGUUAGUCGGCCACUCCUUCAGCCGGCGAGGCUGCCUUCACCGACCAGCUCGGCCUCCAUGUCGCGCCCUAGUCUGCCGUCUUUUGCUUUUCCUGUCUUGUUACUCUUUAUAAACAUAUUUUGGUUAAAUUCGCACAAUUCCACCCACUGGGUGUAUUCGAACUUAUGUCUGUUGCCGGCCUGUUGACGGCUUUAUGUAUAUAUAUGACUUAUGCAUUUGGCCUUUCCUUGUACUUUUUGCUUUUUGUCCUUCUGCUUUUUCCUUUGCCGCCCUCCCUUGGUUGCCGCCUCCCCAGUCAAACAGUUGCUCUGCAAUCUGUAGCCGGGGGAGUGCCUGGCCGAUUGGGGAGGGGGAAGUACUUUAGCUCUGCUGGACUAAAGCUAAGUUUUUUAGGAAGCCGGCCAGCCGGCUGCUCUGGUAGCCAGCAGGCAUGUUUGGAGGUUGUCUCUUUGCUAUAUAGGUUCGUUGUUCCUUAGCCGUUUUUUGUGUGGGCGUCCUUUCUGUCUUUCCUCUUGCUAGUCGGACAGUCAGUUCUUUGAGCUGUGACUUUCAACAAGAGAGGACUCGGGAGCCGGCGCACUACUUUUUUGACUUUAGGAAAAACUUUCGAUAUAGCUCAAGGCGGCCAGUCCCCGGGCCGACUAGUCGAACCCGGUGCCGGACAAAAAAUCAAAAUGUAAUAAUACAUUCAUGGAUAUGACACUCGUCAUUCAUAGAUAAAUAAAAGGCAGUCCCCGAGUACUGUUCGGGGGGCCUGUUGGUUUUUACUUAAUGUAAAAGGGGAGCGUGAUACAUACUGCUUUUCAGCUGUAAAAUCGUCUUAGGAGGUUUGCGUUCCAUGGUCGCUCCGACUCCUUGCCGGAGUCAUCUCUCUUGCGUGCUCUUGGUUUUUGCGCGUCGAUCAAGUAGUAGGAGUCGUUGCCGAGUGCCUUGCUGACGACGAAGGGGCCUUCCCAAGGGGCCGAGAGCUUGUGCUGGCCGGCUGUUCGCUAGAUCAGCCGGAGCACAAGGUCGCCCUCUUGGAAGGAUCUUGGCUUGACCUUGCGGUUGUAGUAGCGGUGCAGCCCUUGCUGGUAGAUGGCGGACCGGCUGAGGGCUAACAGUCGGCCUUCUUCCAGUAGGUCGACGCCGUCUUCUCUUGCUUCUUUGGCUUCCUCCUCCGUGUACAUGGUGAUCCGAGGCGAGUCGAACUCGAUGUCUGUUGGGAUGACAGCCUCGGCACCGUACACGAGGAAGAAUGGAAUGAAGCCGGUUGACUUAUUGGGUGUAGUGCGCAGACUCCAGAGGACAGCCGGCAGCUCUUCGAGCCAGCAGCCGGCCGAUCGCUCCAGUGGUACAACCAGUCGGGGCUUGAUGCCGGAGAGGAUGAGUCUAUUUGCUCGCUCGACCUGGCCGUUUGACUGCGGGUGGGCAACGGACGCUAAGUCCAGUCGGAUGCCCUGCGUCGCGCAGAAACGUGCCAGUGCUCCUUUGGCGAAGUUCGUGCCGUUGUCGGUGAUGAUGCUGUGCGGCACGCCGUACCGAGUAGUGAUGUCGGUGAUGAAUGUCACGACAGUCGGCCCGUUCAGUUUCUUAGUCGGUUUAGCUUCGAUCCACUUUGUGAACUUGUCCACGGCGACCAGUAGAUGUGUCAGGCCGCCGCGGGCUGUCUUGAAAGGGCCCACCAUGUCUAGUCCCCAGACGGCAAAAGGCCAAGUAAGGGGAAUGGUCUUGAGGGCAGAAGCCGGCAGGUGUUGCUUGGAACUAAAAACUUGACAUCCUCUGCAGCUCUUGACUAUUUCUUUAGCAUCCUCCAAGGCAGUCGGCCAGAAGAAACCAUGGCGAAAAGCCUUGGCCACAAGGGAUCUUGAGGCUGCGUGGUGGCCGCAUUCGCCUUGGUGGAUGUCUUUGAGGAUUGCCACUCCUUUUUCUGGCUCGACACAACGCUGGAAGACUCCAGUGACGCUGCGCUUCACAAGCUCUCUGUUGAUUAUUGUGUAUGCUGCGGCUCGUCGUUGCACUAGUCUUGCUGAGAUCUCGUCAGCCGGCAGCUCUCUGCUGACUAGGAACUUGAGGAUGGGCUGGGCCCAUGAGGGAGCUGUGACUUCUUCUUCUGUUAAUGUGGCCACCAUGACUCGGGUGGGUGGGUUGGGUGUUGCAUUGGAGUCGGCCACCGCUUCUUGUGCCGCUGCAGUCCCCAGGCCGACUGCUGCAGUCCCCGGGCCGGGUUUUGAAGUCCCCGGGCCGGGUGCGACUACGGUAGUCCCCGGGCCGGUUGUCGAAGUCCCCGUGCCGCCUGCGGGAUUUCUCCAGUCGGAUCCGACUAUAUCUGGCUCAGGCGGUACGAAAAUGGAAUCCGACUCUGGAGACGGCUUGAUGGACGGCUUGAGGAGGCGCUGGAGGGAGACGCCAGUCGGUAUGGCUUGUCGGGUGGAGCCGAUCCGUGCUUGGGCAUCUGCUUGGUCGUUGUCGGCCCUUGGCACGUGAAGGAACUCGCACCCUUCGAAGUAUCCGCUUAUCUGCUGGACGAGGAAACGAUAGCUCACCAUGUUCGCGUCCUUGGCGUCCCAGUCGCCAGAUGAUUGCUGGACCACCAAGUCUGAGUCGCCGUAGCACAGGAUCCGGCGUAUACCAAGCUCUUUGGCUAGCCGGAGCCCGUGUACGAGCGCCUCGUACUCAGCGACGUUGUUGGAGGCGGCGAAGUGGAUCUGCAGCGUGUACUUGAGCUUGUCGCCUUUGGGAGAGGUGAGGACGAUGCCGGCUCCCAAGCCGGUGCGCAUCUUGGACCCGUCAAAGUGCAUCCGCCAAUGGGUAGAGUCGGGAGCCGGCGGUAAGUACUGGGUCUCGGCCCAGUCGACGAGUAAGUCGGCCAAUGCUUGCGACUUGAUGGCGGUGCGGGGUUGAUAGAAGAUCGUGUAGGGCACCAAGGCAAUGGCCCAUUUGGCCACCCGGCCGGAUGCAUCCCGGCUGCCUAUGAUCUCGGCGAGCGGGGCAGUGCACACGACCGUGUUGGGGUGCUCUUGGAAGUAGGGCUUCAAUUUCUUGGCAGUGAAGUACACCCCAUAGCACAUCUUUUGGUAGUGCGGGUAGUUUUGCUUUGAGCUGGAAAGUACUUCGCUGAGAUAGUACACCGGCCUCUGGACCAGCUGGGCUCGGCCUUCCUCCGGGCGCUGGACCACAACAACAGUGCUGACGACUCGGCUAGUCACGGCAAUGUAGAGGAGCAUGGGCUCCUUCUCAGACGGGGCUGCCAGGACAGGCGGAGUGGUCAACAUUUUCUUCAACUCAUGGAAGGCUUGGUCAGCUUGAUCAUUCUACUCAAAGUGAGUGGACUUCUUCAUGAGUCGGUACAGGGGGAGAGCCUUUUCUCCUAGUCGGCUGAUAAAACGAUUCAGGGAGGCUAAGCAGCCAGUGAACUUCUGCACAUCUCGCAGCUUGGUGGGAAUCUCCAUCCUCUCGAUGGCCUUGAUCUUGACGGGGUUGCACUCAAUGCCGCGUUCGGAGACCAGGAAGCCUAGCAGCUGGCCGGCUGGCACUCCGAACACGCACUUCUCGGGGUUGAGCUUGAUUUGGAAUCGGCGCAAGUUGGCAAAUGUUUCUCUCAGGUCUUCCAGCAAGGUACCGCGCUUCUCUGUCUUCACCACAAUGUCGUCUACGUAGACGUGGGCAUUUCUGCCGAGUUGUUUCAAGAGACAUUUCUGCAUGCAACGCUGAAAAGUGGCACCGGCAUUUCUCAAGCCGAAUGUCAUUGUCAGGUAGCAGAAAGCUCCAAAGGGUGUGAUGAAGGCAGUCUUCAGGCGGUCAGCUGGGUCCAACUUGAUCUGAUGAUACCCUGAGUAUGCAUCCAAAAAACUUAACAGCUCGCAUCCGGCUGUGGAGUCUAUCACUUGGUCAAUCCGUGGCAGGGCAAACGGAUCCUUUGGGCAGGCCUUGUUCAGACUAGUGUAGUCUAUACACAUACGCCACUUGUUAUUCUUCUUCAGAACCAGAACUGGGUUGGCAAGCCACUCUGGAAAGAACACUUUCAUGAUAAAGCCGGCUGCAAGGAGCCGGGCUAUCUCUUCUCCCACAAUUCUUCGCUUCUCUUCUGACAGUCGGCGGAGGGGCUGCUUGACCGGCUUCGCAUCAUCUCGGACAUGUAAUUUGUGCUCGGCGAAAUCCUUCGGGACACCCGGCAUGUCCUUUGGGGACCAUGCAAAGAUGUCUCGAUUCUCACGGAGGAAGUCGACGAGCUCGCCUUCCUAUUUACUGUCCAAGCUCGCCCCAAUGACAGCGAACCUCUCCGGGUGCUCCGGGUCCAGAGGUAUCUUCUUCGUCUCUUUUGCAGGCUGGAAGGAGCCCUGCGCAUCACGAUCCUUGGGGUUGGGGGACAAGGCCGGCUGCUUGCCGGCCAUGGCCACAACCCGUUCCAACAUCUUCUUCUCUUCUGCCACCACGAGGGACUCGGCCAGCCGGCUACUGGCCAUGGCGCACUCAAUGGACUUCUUGUAGUCGCCGGCUACCGUGAUGAUCCCAUUCGAGCUCGGCAUCUUCAUCUUCAGGUAGGCGUAGUGGGGCACAACCAUGAACUUGGCCAAAGCAGGUCGGCCAAGCAAUGCAUGAUAGGGGCUCUCCAAAUCCACUACCUCGAACCAUAUUGCUUCCCGGCGAAAAUGAUCUUUGUCUCCGAAGAGAACAUCCAUUUUGAUCUUGCCGAUUGGGGAGCAAGACAGGCCGGGUACGAUACCAUGGAAGACGGUGCGGCUCGGCAUGAGCUGCUUCGCUUUGAUGUUCAGCUUCUCCAUGGUAUCGCGGUACAGUAUGUUGAUACUGCUUCCGCCGUCUAUCAGGACGCGGGAAAAUUUGGCAGCUCGCCUCUCCGUCGCGAGGGUGACGUCCAAGACCAUUGCAUAGGAGCCAGGCGAAGGCAUCACCUUUGGGUGGUCGGCCUGGCUCCAGCUGAUUGGCUUUUCUGACCAGUGCAUGAACUCGGGGGCGCUGGUGGCGACUGCAUUCACUUCUUGGUGCUGUCGGCGUCGGCUGCGCUUGUCGUCGGCUUGACUAGUGAAGACGACGUAGGCGGCGUGCUCUUCGGGGAAUUCGUCUUGGAUGGCGCCGACUGCUGGCCGAGCUGCCGGCUGCUGGGGGGCUGGAGGCGGCGGGCCGGGAGGCGGAGGCGGCAGCAUUCCCUCGCCCUUGGUGAUGCGGGUGAGCCAGUGGCAUUUCCGGGUUGUGUGGUUGGACGGCUUCGCGCAGCUAUGGAACUUGCAGGGGGCGUCUAGAGCUUGUUCGUAGGAGAAAGACGGCUGCCAAGGCGGCCGGCCACCCUUCUUCUUGGGAGCGGGCCGAUUCUCGGGCUGCUCGUCUUCAACUGUGGCCACCUGCCUACUGGAGGAAGUCGGCAUGGGGCCCUUGCGCUUGUGGUCGUUCUGGUAGGGGCGCCGAUUAGGGUCGCCAGCCGGCGUCUUGGGAGCCGGAGCAAUUACUUUCCCCGAGGCGUCCACUCGGAGCUCGGUCUUCAUUGAGGAGUCGGCUGUGGCGUACUUGUCGGCGAUGACUAGUAACUCGUCGAGGGUAGCCGGCUCGUCGCAGAGGAGUCGGUGCUUGAGGAGGGUGCCCUCUCGGCACCCGACGGUGAAGUACUUGAUGGCCUGGACCUCGUGCACUCCCUCGCAGGAGUUGCGGAGCUCGGCCCAUCGCGUGAGGUAGUCGCGGGUCGACUCGUUGGGCCCUUGGACGCAGAGGGAGAGCUGGCGAGGCUUGGGAGGCCGCUUGUAGGUGCUGGUGAAGUUGCGGAUGAAGACUUCGGUGAAGUCCAGCCAACUGUUGAUGCUGUAGGGCUUGAGGCUGUUGAGCCAUGUGCGCGCCGUGCCUUGCAGCAUGAGGGGGACGUACUUCACGGCGACGCGCCGAUUGCCGUUGGCUAUGCUGACGGCCGUGGAGUAGUCGAUGAGCCAAUCUUCCGGCUUCACCGAGCCGUUGUACUUGGGCGUGUCUCUGGGGAGCGAGAACCCUUUGGGGAAGGGCUCGUCGCGGAUGCGGGGGCCAAAGCAUGGCGGGCCGACAUCGUCUUCUUCUUCUAACGCCAAGGAUCGAGCAAGGCGGUCGAUCCUGUGGCGGGCGUCGUUCUCGCCGACUCCUUCUCGGCGGCCGAGUCGGUCGCCAAGAGUCGGGUGUGUGAUAGGCGGCGGAGUGAGGCGUCUUUCUCUUCGAGGCGGGGGAGAAGGCAGAUUUCCUUGGUGCUCUACAGCUCGAGGGCGGCCAUCCGCGUUGCGCUCGAUGGUGAUGCGAGUCCGGCUACGGCUGGCAGCCGGCUCCUUGUCUUUCUUCUGGCGCGCGCCGCUCGCAGUCGGCGAGCGGGACGUCGCGGCGUGCUCCCGGCGCGGGGGAUGAUUAUCAGCACGGGCGCCGGCUUCGUGCCGUUCUGCAGCCGCGUCGAGCAGCUGUUGGAUCCGUCUCGUCAUGUAGGGGAGCUCAUCGGCUCCCAGCCCAUUGAGCUCUUCUGCAGCCGCCUGAGUGGCUCGCAGAUUCUCGAGCGGGGUGGCGUAGACGGGGCGAUCUGCGCCCAGCGCGCUGCGACGGCUGCGCCGCGCUUCUGGACGAAGCCGACUCGGCUCGCGCCGCUAGGCGGCGGCGUGCCGAAGGCGGCGCGGUCGACUUCGCGCUGGUGGGCCUCGGUGAGGCGUCUCAUCGAGGCUAUCUUCUGGCCCUCCGCGAUGAGGGCAAGGCGGCGUGCCUCCAGGGUCUCGGCGUCGGCGUCGGCCGGGAUGGGGACGGAGAGGUCGUGCAUCGCCGCUUGCUGAGUGUCGCGGGCAUUCUCGGCCGAGUUGGAGACGUGGCUGAUGACCAGCACUUCGGUGACAGCGCUGCUCCCGCUGUCAGCUCGAGGGAGGGGGUUGUCGAAGACCACCAUGUCGGAGGGGUAGGCGUCAAGCGACGCGGUGUCGGAGUCGAUGAGCAUCGGGUCGGUGGAGCCGACGGACUCCAUGUCCGUAGCAGGCUCGCUGGAGACGUGAAGUUGGUCGAGGAGGCAGAUGAGGCGGCUCUCGGGGUAGCCGGUGCCUGCGUCGGACGCAGGCUCGUCGGAGAUGCGAGUCUCGCCGAGCAGAUCGGCGAGGCGGCGCGCUGCGCAGGCGUCGUCGACGCCUUGCAGCGCGUCGAGGCAACCGCCAUCGGGCGCAGCAGGCUGGCUGCGCUCGCGGGGGAGGAAGAGGGUUCCCGUCCAGAACAGGUCGACGGUGCACCUGGCCCCAGGGUGGGCGCCAAAUGUCGGGUGGUUGGUGCGACAUAUGCCAAGGGAUGGCUUAUCAUUGUGGGAGCCAAUAAAACGUCGCCGGUGCCCGGAAACGGGAUGAGGCGAAGACAUGCACGCCGGCGGAUCUUAUCCAGGUUCGGGGCUCUCCGAGGAGAUAACACCCCUAGUCCUGCUCUGCGGGGUCUCCGCAUGAUCACUAGAUCGAGAAAGGGUAGCUACAAUCGCUCCUAGAGCUGUUUGGGGUCAAGGGAGAAGAAGAACAAGGCUAGCUCUCACUUCCCUCUAUCUAUGGUGUGUGUGCUAUGUUUGGAAGCCAACUAUGCUUAGAGGCCAACCCUUUGCAUGGGUGCUCCGAGGGGUUUAUAUAGGCCUACCCCCGGGGGUACAAUGGUAAUCCGGCUGGGCUCUGGUCCCAGCCGUCAGUGUCUACACUCGCCGGCUUCUCCGCCGGCUGCAGGGUCCCGCCGGCUGCCGGCUACUUGGUCGACAGGCCGGCCCCACCGCCUGGGGUCUUGUCGGCGGCUGCUUACUGUAGCCGCGCCUCUGAUGACGAGGGCUUUGUCGAGGUAAGCGUGGCUACAGUGGGCCGCCUCGGGGGCUCUCACUGUAGCCUUACCUCGUCUUGUCUCCUUAAUGGGGCUCCUGCUUCUAGGAAGGGAGUAGCCGGCUUCUAGAGGCUGGCUACGCUCUUGGCCGACUGGGAAAGGCCGGGCCGCCUUCACGCCUCUCUCUGGCUGAAGGGGCCCGCCGCCCGCGGGCCGUACGGGAGUCGGUCGUGGGUGACGUCGGGGCCAGCAUGGCUACAGUGCCGAGCCGCACGGGAGACGGCUGUCCCAUACGGCCUCCUGUAGCCAUGCCUGCCUCGGGCUUUGGGGGUAGUGGGCCGCACUGUGGCCACACCCCGUCGUGUCGCCGUUAUGUGGGAACAGCUUGGAGUGGUUGUGGUCUCGGCCGGCUCUUUGGAGUCGGCAUCCUUCUUGGCCGUCUUUUUGGAGUUGGCCACCCUGUAAUCGUCCUUGGGAGGGGUUGCUGAGGCAGGGUCGCCUUCCGGGAGUCGGCUUCAGAGGUAGCCGGCCGGGGAAGGCGGCCCGAAUGCCUGGAGUGCUUGAAGGCCCAAAGGCCUGAUAAUUUUUCUGAAGAACCAGGGGUAGUCGGUUGGGCUACCCGUGGCCAUUUACUCCGACACACUUAGCCCGUUGUUCAAUCUGGCGGUUUGAUGCACAUUUUUCCUUGUCUGUGUGUCUCGAUAGGUAUUAAAGGCCUGAGUGGUAGCUCUGCAUGCCGCUGGUACAUUGAUGAGGACCCGCCAGAGAUGAAUGCCUUUCGUGCUAGGUAUUUCCUCUUUCUAUGUGGUUGUCAGUCGUCGAGAUUUAUAGAGCUAUUCUGACUCGGUUACAAUUAACCAUUUUUAAUCCAGCCUUGCAGAAGGGCUUCCUGCCGUCACUGCUCACAUCCCAGGAGAACAAGCGAUUGUUCCAGCACCUGUUCACGAACCUCCUGUUGAAUUGACUGUUCAGGAGUUGCUUGCCCUUGACCCAUUUGACAACUUGGUACCUCCUCUCCUUACUUCUUCUAUACCUUUCCCUUUUCUUUUUAGCAUCCUCUCACUAUACUUGUGUUCAUCAUUAAAUGCAGAAGAAACAGUUUAUUGUCAAGGUUACUAUCACAGGCUUGGGCUCUGACAACCGCUGGUGGUUCCUCUCGUGCCGGAAAUGCCAUAAAACAGCCUACACCUCCGGAUGGCAGUACCGUUGCUCAGACUAUGACUGUUCUUCUAUCAUAGCAGAUCCUUCGUGAGUGCCUUUCCCUCAUAGUCUAUUUUGGUUUGUCUACUGGGUUGAUUCUGAGUGCAUUUGCCUUGCAAUGUCUAGAUACUACGUGUGUACUUUCGAAAGCGAUGGCGCAAAUGAAGCAGAAUUUAUGUUCUUUGAUAGGGCUGCAAAACAAGUUGUUGGCAAGCCACUCAUGACUUUGAUUCACUGCAAGUACCCAGGUUUUACAAGUGCGCUUGAUCUUGCUUAGAUAGGAGGUUCUGAUGUAGGUUUGCCUGUUGAAAUUUCCCGCCUUGUUACCCAGAAGUAUAGGCUGGUCGUUUCUAUCUCCAACAAGAAUUUUCAGCCUGCAAGCACCCAGCUGUCCUUCCAAGUUGGUAGAAUUGAUGAAACCUUUAAGCCUGACCUUGUACCCUUUGCAUCUGCUAGUGCAUCAUCUUCCUCUGGAGCAUCGUCUUCUGCUAAGGGCUCAGACAUGACAGUGCCCAUUCCCACCUCUUUCUCUACAGGAUCGUCUACACUCGUUGUGCUACCUCUCGAUGAGGUAUAUAUGUUGCUGGUUUCCUCUCUCAAGUUCUCUUUCACCCGUUUAAUGCCUGUGUUGUUUCUUUGCCAGAUGAACACUCCUAUAUCUGCAUUCAAAGGUAAAGGACAGGCUAUUGUGCCUAAAACACCCAGGUAUCAAUCCUCCAUUUCUCCUAGCAUACAUUCUGAAAAUACUUCUUCUUUGCCCAUGACUGAUGUUUUUUCUUUUUUGCAGCCGGUCCCCAUGCCCAAAAAGUGCUCGCCGCAAGCUUCUUAUUGGCCCCCCUAAGUCUAAGGGCACUGAACUACCUGCCUCUGUUAGCAACGUUACUGUCCAGGCUGGAAAGGUUGUCGCAGUUACCCAAACUGAAGAGGUUGCCGCCACUGGAAAUGUUGUUCAGCCUACACCCAUGCCAACCGUUAGUGCAUGUACUUAAUAUGCAAACAUCAUUCUUAUUCUGCACAAAUUAUGCUUGAUGUGCAAUAAUCUUUGUUCGCACCAAUCUGUACAGGUUCGACAUGAGACUGAAACCACAACUGCUGAGGAUCCAAAGAUCAUCAUUCCUGACCCCUCUAAGGCCAAGAGGUAAAGGCUCAUGAACUGUUACAUUCAGCUACUUCUGCGCCUAUGACAAAGGCAUUGACUUUACUCUUGUCUUGCUCUGCCUUUUAUGAAACAAACUAGGUUGUGAUAUUAGAUUAUGGAAUAUCUCCUGGUUUAGUAUGUGCACAUGGUCUGUGCUCUUUCUAAUAUAGUUCUAUGGUCCAGUGACCAUUGUAUUUGCUGCUUUGUCAUAUCUCUUAAGAAACUGGUACAUACUAUUUUGUUGCCAGGUUUGCUCCCUUUUCUAUGGCUCAUUGGUAUAUGCAGAUUAGUUAUCUGGCCACAACAAAUAUUAUCAACUUUUCUCUGUUUCGUUGUUCAUUGAUGCACUGUAAGCUAGACGCCUAUACAGUUAUACUAGGUCGUGAUUUAGUAAUCCAGUGGGUCUUUUGUUCUUUUAGAUGAAAACCACCUCUCUACAUGCAUCUUGACUAUAUUUCCUUCUUCGCUGAUGCAUGCGAUGCCAUUUGAUCAGGCAUUUCUUUGUACGCCUGCUAUUUCCACAUUCAUGAGAGGCUCAAUAAAACAUCCUUUUAGCUUCAGCAUUUUUAUAUACGUUCUCAGUUAUUUUUCCUUGCACGUCCAUGCAAGAUAAUUAGCCAUAAAGCUGGUUUUCUGCUUAUUUAUGUUGUUCUCCAAUUCACGUGUCUAAUCUUUAAAUCCAUGUUGUUUCUACGACAUUCUAUGGGUCUAGACUUUCUUGCGAAGACAAGAUUAUUAAAAUUUCUUUUAUUUUUGCCAAUUGAUCAAAUUCAGGACAAACAACCCUAGCAAGGGUGCUGGCAUCCCAAAGAAACUAAAGCAGUAGUUCUUUCAUGGAGUGGUCGUUCCAUGUAGUAAUCUAAAUAUGUACAUACGGUAAGACUAAUACCUCUUCAAUUCCAUCUAUUCUACAUCCAUGAUGCAUGGUAUGUCGCAAUAUGAUAAUAACUGUGAUUCCUCUUCUUUCUCAGGGUUUCUUCUAUGUUCUGCUUGCUUAUCAAGUAAAGUCUACGAUGGACGGAUGUCGUGCUGAACAGGCCUUCUCAACUGUACUGCAUCACAGCAGCGGUUUGGCCAUCGGGCCGGGUUUGAAGAUCGUCGACUCAGUGCGCUUUUGGGCAUGCACUGGAUUUACUUUUGUGCGGCUUUAUAAGAUAGGGCUUUGACGCCUGCAGAAUUGUGUUAAACCGCUGUCAUGACAACUCCUUUAUUUACGUCCUCGAACAAAGCAUCAUGUGUUGUAAAUAUCGCCGUUAGCUCUUCCUGUCUGAACUCCUUGUGACAACUAUCCACUGUAAAUACCGCUGGAUCAUGCUGCUUGCUCUAAGUCCUCUUGUUGUUCUUAUGCUGUGUGCUUCUUCUUAUGUCUUAUAUUUAC
rnacentral:lncRNA from 1 species